rnacentral:lncRNA from 1 species
AGAUUCGAUGUGAUGGAGAAUCUUGUAAAAUUUUGAGUUUUUGGGUGUAUCUAAACAAGGCCAUAGACACAUUUACUUGUCCAAGAUGAUACACAAGAGCACUCUAUAUCAUGCAUGUAGUGUAUGCUUCAUCUUUAUACAAUUACACACUAUACCUGAUUGUGCCAACCCCAAUCAUGCAUCAGUCCCGGCCCGCAGGUAUAAUAAGUAGUUUACUUGAAUAUAAGAACUAACCUGCGCUCCGGCACCGCGCAGAUCGAUUGUGUAUAUAUAUGAUUGGUCUAGCUAUUAGCUAGAUACUUUUGUGCUGUCCACUAAUAAAUACCAGUUGGCAUUGUUGAUAUAACGAAUUCUGAUCGACAUGACACACGGUUCGGUGAUCAGGGUGUCUGUGGGGGUAGAGAGCACCGUCGCCUGUUGUUCCUCCCGUUGACACUUUGGCCAAAGUCUGCCGUCCUCCUCGCUGGAGAUUAGGGAGAGACCGCUGCCUUUUCCGGUAUCUUCAUGUGCUUUUGCAUUAUUAUGUACGUCCUUGACAGGAAUGUGUGUCGCUGUCGUCGUUCGCGCGAUCGCGUCCGUCAAGUCCUCAACGCGCUUACCUGCAGCUGCCUGCCUACACGACAUGCCAUGUGUGGUGUGUUUCAUCAGUCGCCGCCGGGCGAGCGGCCGAACGAGCAUAUAUAUAAAAACAAAAGCAAAUACUAUGCCGUGUCACCUCGCGGCGCCGCGUCCACCGCCACCACCACCACCACCGGACGCGGGCGGGCUACCUGCUCUGCUCAUCAUCAUCUGCAUGUGCAUGUGCAUGUCCGUCCACGCACCCACCGGCGGACGGACACGCGCGCCUAUGCUAUGCAUGCAUGAACCUGACACGCGAAUGCACAAACGGAUCAUAGCUUUUCUCGCUAUAAUAUAAUAUUGGGGUUCCUUAUGUGAAAAAAAAAAUAAUAAAUUUUGCGUAUAGUUUUUUUGUUCUCUCAAGGCCUUAGUGUUCUAUGGUAAUUGUCCUCUCUUCAAGUUGUCGACAAUUUAUCCAUCGGUACCAAUUUGUGAACAACUCUGUUUCAGUCCCUGCGUCGGACUCUGUCAACCGCGCGCCCGGCAAGAGGAGAAGCAGACGGACCAGCGGAGCCACGGCCCAGGAGAGCGCCCAAGCCUAACACGCGCUUCGCAGGCCCAGAAUGGGCUGUGUAAUGAGAGAGCUCCUGAUGGGAUACGACAGGACCGAGAGAAGUCAGACGAUUUGUAAACUGAAAACACUUCAAUUCAAAUCAUGUCCUCGCGCACUUCGGUGUGUUCUUUCCGUCUCCCCUAGCUUCCUCCUGCUUCCUCUCCACACUAUCGCUAACACAACUCUGUGUAAUUUAAAGCAAUUAUAUUAUGGCUCAAUUUUUUGGCUUCAGAUGUUAUCGUCACCCCUUUUUUUCCUUGCACUCAUGUCUCAUGGCUAUGAAGCUUAUGUCAAAGUCAACUCUUGAUAAACUUCAGUUUUUCCAGUUGACGACUAUAAAAAACGGUUUAAGGAGACAGCUAGAUCUGGGUUUGGGCCGUGCUAUUUGAGGGUGGGUCAUUAUAUAGUCUUUUGCCAUGGUAUAACACAAAAGAUUUUAGGCCGUGCUGGCAUGACACGAACAUGAGAGUCAUGCCAUUCCGAGGAUCUUGGCAUUUUAGACCGUGUUUGGCCCGAUAUGGCACGAAAAAUGCCACGCUCUACAAUAUGUUUCCCACUGGUUGCCUCUCUCUCUCUCUCUCUCUCUCGUCACCCUCCCACAUCAUGAUCUGUGACCACCACUUCUCUCCCUAUGUCUAGAGUGAGCCUGGUGAGCCCCCUCCCUUACCGCCCCUGCCUCUCCCCCUCUCUCUCACCUUUGGGGGCUAGGGAUGACCUCGAGCUAUGCGGAGCUCGAUGCACGUAGCCCAACAUCCAAUCACAUGUGACACAAGGAGGCACUCGGGUACGUGUAGAACUCCUAAUGAAUGUAAAGGAGGCAAGAGAACCAAGAGAAGUCAGAUGAUUGUAAACUGAAAACACUUCAAUUCAAAUCAUGUCCUCGCCACUUCCAUGUGUUCUUCACAUCUCCCCUUCCUCCUCCUUCCUCUCCACACUAUCUAACACAACUCUAUGUACUAUAAAGCUAUUAUAUUAUGGCUCAAUUUCUUGGCUUCAGAUGUUAUCGUCAUCCUUUUUUUCUUUUGCACUCAUGUCUCAUGGCUAUGAGAAGCUUAUGUCAAGGUCAAAUCAUGAUAAAUUUCAGUUAUUUCAGUUGGCGACUACAAAAACAAUUUAUGGAGACAACUCUUUAAUUGUGUUUAUAUGAGAAACGCAACCUACCCUUCUCUUCCUACCCACUAGCCACCUCUCUCACUCUCUCAACUAUCUCCCUCAUGCUUUGUGGUGACCUCUUCUCUCCCUAAGUCCAAAGCAAGCCUGGUGGACCCACUUCGUCCCUGCCCUGCCACUCCCUCUCCCUCUCUCACCUUUGGCGGCUAGGGAUGAUCUCGAGCUAUAUGGAGCUCGAUGUUCAUAGCCUAGUGGCCAAUCAUGUGUGGUGCAAGGCACCUAGGUACGUGUAGAGACUGAGGGCCGCAACAUCGCAUAGGCCUAUGACAGUGAAUCCUAUAGUGACCUAUAGCCUAGGACAUUGAGACCUAGGGUAGCACACAUGGAAGACAAGGCCUAUGGUGGUGCAUGCAUACCAUGAGGCAUGGGGGUUAUUGGGGCACUUGGAUCUGCCCAGAAGCGAUGAGGCCUGGCUGCCUCGAUGUUGGGAAAAUGCUCUCCGCACUCCCCAGCAAUGCAGUGAAGCGAGAACCUUCUCACUCGGUGCCGUGAGAGGAUGAACAGUAACGAACAGAAAGCUCAACAGUAGGUGAAUACAAUGAAUGCUCUCUCUCUCUCUUAUUAAUGACGGUAUCACGCCCCUUAUAUAGGGCUCAGAAACCGACCUAAUGACAUUUACAAAAAUGCCCCGUGACGGUGGGGAAUAUCCCAGCAUAUUCUCAUAUUACAGUCUACUGGCCCUAAACCAAUUGUGUAAUUUCACAUUACAAACCCCACGUAUGUCCCCUGUCUGAGGCUUCAGCUGGUCGAAGGCUUGGAUCCUUCGCCCAAUCGUGGAUCCUCCGACGCUUUGGUGUCGGAGGUUCCCUAGCCUGGCCGGGCCGGAGGUUCCACGGCCUGGCCACACUGGAACUUCCUUAGUCUGCCUGGUCACCGAUCCUUAGACGCUUCACCAUCGGAGGUUCCUCAGCCUGGCCGGACCGGAGGUUCCUCGGCUUGGCCGCGUCCCUCGCCCAUCCUUGGACUUGGGAGGAUCGGAGGUUCCCCCCUUUCUUUGCUUGCGGGCCUCCGCCGGCGUCUCAGUCCCUGCGUACACUUAGCAAGGCAAGAUGAGUCGUUAACGUUACUUUUUCUCAGGAACCCCCGCACAUAUUCUUACGGAGGUUCCCUGGGUGAAGGAUAUCCUUCGACGCCACCAGGGGGAAGGAUGCGGCCAGCCCCCAACAGUUCCCCCCUUUUUAGGCUAAUGGCACUCCUGCGGUCCAUGUGCUCAAAAACAUGUUACGCUGCGGAGGCUGCGAGCAUGGUUGCUGCCUUCCCCCCUGGUGCGCAGGAUGUGGUUAUUAGUGGUGUUGGAAGAUUGUUUAUUGUACUUGGCCAAAAUUUUCUUUCUCAGCAUCUUCCGCUCAUUGUUGUUCUGAUAUCCUUCGCGUGUUAGAUUGCGGAGGAUAUUAUAGCCGUUGGAGUUUGCCGUUGGUAUUAGGGAAUUGCAACGGUCAGGCCGAUUCCUCCGCUUAUAGCCGUUGGGCGCGGGGAAUCACAACGGUCACGUUGCCGCAGGCCCCCCCUAUAAAAGGGGGUGGGGGAGGGGCUCUUGGCUCUCACCCCUGCUGCCUGCUGUUUGCAUACCUACCUUUGCCACAUCUCACUCUCUGAGCUGCUCGCGUGCGUUUUUGUUGAUUUUAGUUCCUAAGUGUGGUCGGAGGAUCUAAAGUGGCUCAUUUUCCUACGCCGCGUCCUUCGAGGUCAGAUUUUUCUGGUCCUUUGCGCAAUUUACUUAGUGUGAGGUCUGGAGGUUGGCUGCGGAGGUUUGAGGAGUGGAUGCUUGAGGUGGCAGUAGCUCAAGAUCUGGAGGAGACGUUGUCUGACGUCGAAGCUUCCGUUGGGGAUCUAAUCAGCGCGAAGGAAUUUGAGGAGAUGGCUGCAAUCACUUUUGAGUUUGGUGAGUCUACUGUAUGGACGGAGGACAUUGCUGAUAUGGUUUUGGCUAGGUUUUUCAAGGAGGGCCGUGCGAAGGCUCCUCCUGCGGGUAAGACGGUGCCUGCGCCUGAAGAGGGAUAUGCAGUGGUUUUCAGAGAUUUCUUCACCUGCGGGCUCCGGAUGCCUCCGUACCAUUUCCUUCGCAAAGUGAUGGAGAGUUUUAAUGUUGAGCUGCAGCAUUUCAGUCCCAAUGGUAUUUUGACACUCAGCAAGUUUGCGUGGGCGUGCGAAUCCAACGGAGCGAUGCCUCAUAUCGAUACAUUCUAUUCCUAUUUCGAGCUCCAGCGUCAGCCUAAAAAGGUGAAGGAUGCCGAAGGAGUCGACUGUAUUGCGCAAUUUGGAAGCUGCGCGUUCAUGCCGCGCCGCACGAUGCCUGGGCCAAGGUGUGAAAUCUCCUACUGCCAAAAGGGCAAGUGGGAGAAGGAUUGGAUGAGGGCCUGGUUCUACGUGAGGACCCCCGCUGCGUCGAAGACUCUGGAAAAUGGUAGCGUUGAUAAGGUGUAUCCUUACGCGUCGUAGAUGAAGGAGUUGAAGCCUUUCUCCAAGGUUGAUCCUUCGCAGCCAAUGUCGGAGGAACGACUGGCUUGCGACAAGGCCUUUGCGCUGGCUUGCCGAUACUCCGGAGGUCGAGAUUUGGUUGAGGAGAUGGUCACUGCCAACUAUUGGCCCCUUGGUUGCAGGACCGACGAGUUCACCAUUGAAAUGGUGCAAGUGCCGGUGUUUGGUCCUCCGGAGGGGUUGCCGUUUCCUCGGUUCCGCGCGGGUUUGCCUGAGGAUGAGACAAAGGAGUCUUUCCUCGACCGUGUGGAGGUUUCUGCCCGGAGGAUAGUUGGGAAGAUCUCGAAGAAGGAAUAUCUCUAGCGGAAGUCCACACUUAGGACUAUGCCGCGUUUCAAUCGUGUUAAUGAAGAGUUGGGGUUGAGUACGAGGAUUAUGUCAUUCCUCCAGAUGUUUUGCUUGGCUUGGAGAGGAAGAAGGAUUCUUCCAAGGCUGUUGCUUUGGUUGAGUCGAAGAAGAGGAAGGGAGGUGGUGCUGUGAAGCAGCUCGCAAAGAAGCGCAAGGCGGAGGUUGUGCUGGAGGCUCCGGUGGAGUCUUCCUCCGCCCGCUCUUCUGCUGCCGAGUCUAACUCGGUGGCUUCUGCCCCUGCGGAGGCAGUUCCUGCUGGUGGAGGUCCUGAGGUUCAAGCCUCCCGUGUGGUCUCGUCUGUGCGGGCGCCUUUCGCGUCGCUUCUUGGGGAGGAAUCUUCCGACGCGGAGGCCCCUGGGGCAAGUCCUGCGCGGGAUGCGAGUCUUGCACGGGCGGCUAGUCCUACACGGGCGGCUAGUCCUGCGCGGGAGGCUUCUAUUGGUGGAGGGUCUCCACCGAAGGAGGGGUAGGGGAGUCCAGUGAUGAUGCUGAGUCUGCCUCUGUUCGGAAGAUAAAGAGGGCGGAGGCUCCUCCGCGUCCGGCUGGAGAUGGUAUAAACUCGCUGUACAUGGGUAAAGAUUUUGUUCUUUUUGAUCAUGGGUUUUCUGCAUAUUUUGAUUGACUUGGUCUUAUGUUUUUUUGUGUAUUUUUCAGAGGAUGUGGUUGCGAGGUUGGCCAGUGCGGAGGAACGGGCUAAGGUUCGUUUUUGGCCUCCGCUAUUGAUAAUAAUUUUUAAUUUUCUUAUGUUUUUCCUUACCUCUUUUGCUCUUUAGAUCAUCUUCGUCAGAAGCUUCGUCAUAUGGACUUUGAUACUUUCCUUCGCGUGCAGUUUGAGCACCAUAGCCUUGUAAGUUUUUCAAAUUGUUUAUUUUUCCUUCGUGUUUUGUGGUCGGAGGUUUGAUUCUUUUUUGCUUUUUGUAGAGUCACCACAUGGCUGCGGCCUUGGAGGAGCGAUGCUCCCGAGAGGUUAUGUGUCAUGAUGAGGCUAUUGGUGCUUUGAAGAGGGUGAACGAGACCUUGGAGGCAGAGAAGGUCCAUCUGUCGGAGGAGGUCCAGGGCUUUUCUUUGGUCCGACAAGAGCUUGAGGCGCUAAGGAAGGAGAGGGACGAGCUUAAAGCUGGAUCGGAGGUUCUUAAGAAGGGGAAGGAAGAAGCUGAAGCUUCAGCCGCUACCCUCCGCGAGAGCGUUUCACAGCUUGACAGGGCGAAGGACUUGGCCAUGGAGCAUGCCGAGAAGGCUGAGGGCAUUGCCGACCGCCUCCGCGAGGAGCUUGAUGCCGAGCGGACGUCUGCUGCUGUGGUGCAAACACGCAUGCAGAAGGCGGAGGAGGAGGUUGCGGCUUUGAUCGGGCUCUACUCCGGCUCGCUGGCGCAGUUCGGAGGUAGCACCUCUUCUCCUCCGAUCAGUAGUGAUGUUGGGGCUAGUCUUGCGUGGCUCAAGUCUCAUAUCAGCAUGCUUCCUGACUUUGUCGGGGGAGCAGUUGAUUUUGGGGCUUUGGCUGUGGUUAGCUCCUUUGCUAGGCUUUUGCGCCGUGGAGGUUGCUCUCACGCGGAGGAGGUUGCGAAGGAGGAAUUUGCGUCGGCGGAGGACGUUGGCGAAGGCACCUCGAGCCUGCGUAAAUCAGUCUGGAACUUUAUCAGUUCGUUCUGGAUUAGGUUUGGGCGGGCUGAGGCGAAGAAGAUGGCGGAGGCUCGCCGCGCUGAGGUAUGUGUGAUUUGAUUAUUGUUUUGUGUGCUGAGUUGCUACUUUGCAAUGUCUCUUAAGUUUGUCGUUUUGUAGGAGAUUGCCAAGAAGAAAGUUAAGGCUGACAAGGCCGGUCCCUCGCGUCCCCCUAGCGAAGCGCGUCCUCCGACCCAAGCUGAGGCAGAGGUUCACGACGCUGGUGUUAAAGCUCCGGAUGAAUCUGGCGCCAAGGCUUCAGAGCAGCCCGAAGCUCCUCCUCCUCCUCCGCCUCAGGUGUGAGGCUUUUUAGUUUGUAGGUUUUUUAGUUUUUUUGCGUCUGAUGCGCAUACGACGCUUUUUUGUAAGGAAAGCCGGAGGUUUUAGUUAACUUGUAAAAACUUUGUAUGAAAUGUAAUAUAUUGGGUUGUUUUUGGAUAAGCCUUUGUUUUACGCUUUGAUCCUACGCAGGUCUCUGGCGGAGGACCUGCGCAGGAUCGUUGCGAUACUCCCCUUUCUAUUUUCUACAAUGGGAUUUAUGCUUCUGGCGAGUUGUGGGAAUACUGGCGGAUUGCUUUCCCUAACAUGAGAGUAGUGGAUAUGUUUGAGUUUGUUGGUUAUGAUCUUGAUGACGAACGAUCUGAAUUCGUCCGGUCGCUUGCGCGCCGAGGUUCAUGGCCUCCGGCUUAGGUAGUUGUUUUUGUUUUGUUUUUUCUUUAUUUUAGGCUAUAUGUUCUUUUUGUGACUUGGUUUUAUAUGAUUACGUAGUUGUGGUAUCCUAUCCUUCGCAUCUUUGGUGAGGAGGUUGAGGAAUCUUUUUGGCUGGAGGAUCCUGUCGACAUGUAUGAGCGUUUCCUGCCUGAGCGCGCGGAGGUUCGGAAUUUAAUUUUUCUGGAUAUGUUUGGAUCCUUUGCUUGAUCCAUUGGUUUUUUGAGCUGGUUUAUUUCCGCAGGUUGCUCGAUCCUCUCCUAAUCGUAACGUUCUUCCUCCGGAUUUUGUCGAAGGAAGCUAUGUGACUCCAGUGACGUUCAAGCGGGGUGACUUGUAUGCGACUGGUUGGUUAAUAGAUUGGUGGAGAGGUGCGCGACCUUCGCUCGAUGUGGAUGAUUUGGUCGAUUAUCUUGCGUGACUAUUGUAGCGACCUUAGGAUUUUUGGUGACUCGUGUGUGAGAUUUGUACGUGACUCUUAGAUCCUUCGGUAGUUAAGUUGUCAGAGGAUUCAUAUGUAAGGAUUGUAAGAGGCUCUUAGAACCUUCGACAUUUUAGUGGUCGAAGGAUGUUUUUGUAAGCUGUUGAUUUGUGAUGAUUUUUUCAUCGUUAAUAAAGAUUUGAAGCUUGUGAAGAUUAUUGUUACAACCUUCGCACUCGUUCUUAUUACAACCUUCGUGCUAUUCUUGUUACAACACAUUGCGACGUCACGGCGUUGUUGAUCUCGAGGAACUUUGUGUUGCUGUGGCGUGCUUGCGCUUGAUACCCAAUGUUGCGAAGGUGUUGGUGAGUGUGUAGAUUGCGUAGGUUGCCUGCUCCUUGACCUUAGGGCCUUCGCUUGCCCUUGUGCGAAGGAGCCUCUACUGAAUUGCGCUCUUCUUUGUCUUUGUUCAACUCCCGUGGAGUGUUGUCGAAGGUAACCUUCGGGUAGGUAAGUCAGAGGUUCUGAAAGGAUGUUACGAGACUUCGUGCGAUACCCUUCAGAGACCUCUGAUACUGGCUUGCGGUGCUUUUAUUGUGGCUGUACACGACUCUGUGGUCGAUGUUCAUCACAACGCCGCAGUUGUAGCCUUACGAAGCUUCAUGCAAUACCAAUUUUUGGUGCUGCUAUGAGGCUAAUCCCUGCCUCCAUGGUGGCCUAGGUUUUUCCUUUGCGAGCGCUAGGCUUGCACUGGCUGUUUGGAUCUUUGUGUGUUGGUCCUGACUGAUGGUGGGGGCAAGGUGAGCCAGGUUUUAUAGACUUUCAUGCAUUUAUUGCAUGUACUUUGUUAGGUUAGGAUUUACUACAAAGUUAUUACUGGUUGUUGUGAUUGUUGUAGUGGUUGGUCCUACUUUAACUGACUGAGGAAUAUCGUAAGGUUUGCUUUAUUUUCACACUGUGUGUUAGAGGCCUGCUUGGAGUAACAGGGUACCUUCGACCUUAUCUUGGUGAAGGUUAUGUAAUUUUUGUUGAUGUCUACCUUGUGAAUGUGUAACCUUCUCUGCCUUUUGGCAGAAGCUGUAUAGCCCCUGAUGCCUGAUUGUCUUCAGGUCUUUGUCAGGUUUGAAGGCUUUGUCCCUUCUGGCCAUGUUGUGAUACCUGAGGAGGACAGAGCUUUUUCACUUUUGGCCAAGCUGUCCUUGCUGCCCGGCUCUUGGUUAGGUCUUCUACUAAGGAUUCGGUGUUUUCCACCUUUGAGGACGUUCCGAGCUUUCUUAAACUUUGGUUGAAAGCUACGGAGGGUCCUUGUAAUCACGUGAUGUUUUGUCGAAUGCUACAGCCUCGCUGCUGGCUGUUUUUCGACUUUUGCGUUUUGCUUUUGAGGUGGAUUCCUCUUUAUAUCUCAGAGGUUUUUACAUAGGUUCUGCCUCGUUAAAAACCUCACCUCCUAGCAGGAGUACCUGUGGGGAUAUAAACCCCUAUACCCUUACGGCUAGACUUGGGCCAGGAGGUUUGGCCCAUUACGUGACGAGUUUUCAAGGCUUGAUCCGACUGCUUGGAGUUUCGCGCAAGGAGACAAGAUGUGGAGAUCAAGCAGGAUUCUAGUCAGUUAGAAUAGGAAUUGAUAUUAAAUUAUCCAUGGCAAUUGUAACCGACUAGGAUUAGUUUCCAGAUCUGUAACCCUGCCCUCCAGACUAUAUAAGGAGGGGCAAGGGACCCCCCUAGGACACAUUGUUCCCUCAACACAAAUCAAUACAACCAGACGCAGGACAUAGGUAUUACGCCAACUCGGCGGCCGAACCUGGAUAAAAAGCUUGUUCGUGUCUUGCGUCACCAUCGAGUUCGUAGUUUGUGCACCGUCUACCGAUAAACUACUACCGUGGGUAUACCCCAAGGUAGACUGUCGACCAGCUUUCGUCGACAGUGGCGCGCCAUGUAGGGGGUCUGCGUGCAACUUCUCCGGCAAACAAGAUGGUCACGAUCCUAGCUUCCGCGGCCGUGCCUGAAGGCCUCACGUUCACCGUCAGCCAGAUCACGUGGACGACGCGCAGCGGCGGCCUCACGACCACGGUUUCGAAAGAAACUCAGAUCCAAUCUGAGAACACGUCGUCUCCGACCACUCGCGUGGCGGAACCGAGCGCCCGACCAUCGCUCCCGCUCUACAAGGGAAAGAAGAUCGACUGCUCGGACCUUCUCCAAGCGCUCGAUCGCGCUGAUUCCAAGCUACUUGAAGCCUCCCAACUAGUGGACGGAAUCCUGCGUCAGCCUGAUCAAGCUGCUCCAACGGAUUUUUUCAAAUCCCGUCGGCCAACUCGUGUCGUUACACACGAACGACUGGGAACGUCUCUGACGAUAACCUCAACUCCCUCAGGACGAUCUGUCAAGCUCAAGAAGGGAGACUAUCCUUGCGGCCUGAACAACUCGGCCUCUCUCUACUCGCGGCACAUCCAAUCCGUUUUCAGCAAAGCGGGUUGGUCGCCAAACAGGAACGGUCGUCACUACGUCAACAUGGUGACAGUCCAAGAACUACGGGACGGCCAGGCUUCCAGCACCAACUCGAGCACCGGUUCCGUCCCCACCGAAGUUAUAAACACCGAAGACGAGGACUACGACCUGGAUUUGCCUUCACACCCUCCGGGUUUCCCUCGUUUCCCGGUAUUUCCCCCCCGGCGAGGAGAUAUUGUUUUCAACGUCAGCGUCGACGAGCCGGUCGUUGAUGGAGAAACAGAUGAGUAGAGGCAACUCCGCGAGCAACGCAACGCCGAUCGCGCCCGACGACGCGCAGACGAGCAAUAACAAGUUCCACUGCAUAAUCUUAACGACGCUUUUGACAUGGUCGGGGAUCAGCCAGUCUACAAGACGCCAAGCGCCAACGUGGCUGUCGCCAUGGCCAACCUAGAUCGGCUCCCUGAUACCCCUGAGUGCUAGGGAGUCCGGACCAGCAUCCGAGCACACCUGAUCGCCGCAAUGGGACAGACAGCCACUCUGCUCAAGAGAGUCCAGGACGUCUCUUACACGGAAGCCACCUCCGACCAGACUAAUCGUAGCCGGACCUCACCGCCUCCCAGCAGGCGUCACCGCAGCCGCUCUCCCGACAACUGUCGAAAAGAUUCACGGCGUGACGAUGGUGGUCGGGUCGCUGACGGUCACCGCGAGCAGAACCGCAGACGCGGUCAAGAAGUAAACCAGCACAGGGAUCUCCGGCACAACAUCCCUCCCCAAGAUGCCCGGGACCGCAUCAACAGGCGAGCCACAGAGAGAGCAGUCCACGAAAACCUGCGCCGUAUCGAGUACGAUGCAACGCACGGCCCCCCCGGGCCUAAGACAGUUCUCCUCACACCUCCGCCAGGUCGUGUGGCCCCGCAAUUUUAAGCUCGAAAAACUUAAAAAAUACAACGGCAAGGAAAAUCCAGAGAACUGGAUCACUCUCUAUGAAAUCGCCGUCCGAUCAGCAGCGGGAGACGAGCACGUCAUGGCCAACAACUUCCCCGUAGUCCUCGACCAGGCUGGUCAUCAAUGGCUUCUUGGCUUGCCCGAGGACUCCUUCGACUCUUGGGAAGAGCUACGCCAGGCUUUUAUCGACAACUUCAUCGCCACAUGCGAGCAGCCUGGAAACAAGUAUGACCUCGAAAGGAUAAGGGACAGGAAGAACGAACCUCUGCGCGAUUACAUCCGACGAUUCUCGGAUAUGCGCCUUAAGAUCCCGAAGAUUUCCCACGACGAGGCCAUCUCUGCCUUCAUCAAGGGCCUGCGUUUCCAUGAAGCGCUGAGGAACAAGCUGUUGCGUAAACGGCCAACAAUGGUGGCGGAACUCCUCGCCACAGCCAAAAAUUACGCCGAUGCCGACGACGCAGAAAAGCUAAUCCGAGACGAUGCGAGAGGUCCCGACCAGCCUCCCCGGCGAGAUGACGGUCGCGGUCGCUACGACAACAGGAACCACCGCCGCCCCGACGACCGUGAUUACAGAGAAGGUUGGGAUCGGCGGCGCGACAACCGCGACGAUGUCAGAGGAAAGCGCCCCCGCGACUACGACCACGAAGUAAAUACGGUCAAGCGUCCCAACGGGCGGCGGGACUACCAAGAAGACUACAACAAAACGUUGAAGGGACCAUGCCAAUUACAUCCAAAGUCUAAUCAUACCAUGGAAGAGUGUCGCGUCCUCAAAAGCAUCUAUACACGGCGAGCCGCCCAAGACGACUCCGCCAAGAAAAACGGCAAGCGAGACGGGCACGACCACGAAGACGAGGAUGAGGACCAAGAUAGGGACCCCCGACACCAAUACGUGAGCCCCACUGACGUGGUCCACUCCAUCUUCGGGGGCAAGGUCUCCAUCGAAUCUAAGCGAGAAAGAAAGCUAUUAAAGAGAGCCUGCCUCAACAUAGACAGCACGGACGGGCUGAUCGCAGACCCAAAAUUUCCCUCGUGGUCGCACAGGGAGAUCUCAUUCAGCAGGAAGGACCAGUGGGCCGCUAUCCCAGAGCCAGGUCGUUUCCCCCUGAUCCUGGACCCUUGCAUCAACAGCAUCAGAUUCGAGCGUGUGCUCGUGGAUGGGGGAAGCUCCAUCGACAUCCUCUUCCGCAACAGCCUGCCCGCUCUCAAGAUAUCUCCUGCACAACUAAAACCUUACGAUGCCCAAUUCUGGGGGGUUUUGCCAGGUCAGAGUUUAGUGCCCCUCGGACAGAUAACAUUGCCUGUCCAAUUCGGCACACCCGACCACUUUCGGACAGAGUUCAUCAACUUUGUGGUCGCGGACUUCGACGGGACCUACCACGCUAUACUAGGCCGACCAUCGCUGACAAAGUUCGUGGCAGUCCCACACUACUCAUACCUGGUCCUUAAGAUGCCUACGGAGAAGGGCGUCCUAACCGUCAGAGGCAAUGUCUACACCGCGUACACCUGCGAAGAAGAGAGCUUCAAGAUCACCGAAGCAAUCGACCUCUCAAUCCGCAUGGCAGAAACAGCAACCCAAGCCGCACAGCUGCCUCCCGACCAGCUCCGAUUACCCGAGCAGGAGACAGCCAGGAAGAAUUCAAAAUCCAAGGAGUACAAAGAAGUACAGCUGGUUGACGGUAGCCCCGAGAAGACGGCCCUCAUCGGGGCCAAUCUGGAUCCAAAAUAGGAAGACGCGCUCGUCAGGUUUCUAAGGGACAACGUGAGCAUUUUCGCAUGGAAACCCGCAGACAUGCCCGGCGUCCCACGAAACCUGAUCAAGCACUCCUUAAAUGUCUCGAAGACCGCAAGACCAAUCAAGCAAAAGCUGCGAUGGUUUGCUCGUGACAAAAAGGAGGCUAUUAGGACAGAAAUAACACGGCUUCUAGCAGCCGGAUUCAUAAAAGAAGUGUAUCACCCCGAUUGGCUCGCCAAUCCGGUUCUUGUACGCAAAAAGAAUAAUGAAUGGAGAAUGUGCGUUGAUUACACUGAUCUCAAUAAACACUGUCCUAAAGAUCCUUUUGGUCUCCCUCGCAUUGACGAGGUGGUCGACUCAACGGCCGGAUGCGAACUCCUCUCUUUUCUAGAUUGCUACUCUGGUUAUCACCAGAUCUCGCUAAAGGAAGACAUCCUUCAUUACUCCUUUUGGCGCAUACUGCUACACGACCAUGUCCUUUGGACUCAAAAACGCCGGAGCCACUUAUCAACGGGCCAUCCAGCAGUGCCUCCACGACGAGAUUCGUGAUGACCUCGUCGAGGCCUAUGUAGACGACGUGGUCGUAAAAACAAGGGACGCGAGCACCCUAAUCGACAACUUAGACCGUACUUUCAAGGCGCUUAAUAGGUACAAGUGGAAGCUUAACCCCAAAAAGUGCAUCUUUGGUGUUCCUUCCGGUCUACUGCUCGGCAACGUUGUCAGCCGUGACGGCAUACGGCCAAACCCUUCCAAAGUAAAAGCAGUACUCGACAUGCGGCCACCCAAGAAUGUCAAGGAUAUUCAGAAGCUUACCGGAUGUAUGGCCGCCCUCAGUCGCUUCAUCUCAAGACUAGGAGAAAAAGGCCUCCCUUUCUUCAAACUCUUGAAAGCGUCGGAAAAAUUUUCUUAGACAGAGGAAGCCGACGCCGCAUUCACGCAGCUCAAGACUUUUCUCACUUCGCCACCUGUCCUUACAGCGCCUCAGCCCGAUGAAGACCUACUCCUUUACAUUGCUGCAACCGACAGGGUUGUUUCCACAGCAAGAGUGGUCGAGCGAGAUGAACCAGGUCAUGCCUAUAAGUUCCAGAGACCCGUCUACUUCAUAAGUCAGGUCUUAAACGAGUCCAAGGCCAGGUACCCACAAAUACAGAAGCUCAUAUACGUCAUUCUAAUAACAUCAAGAAAGCUGAAGCACUACUUCGACGGCCACCAAGUCUUGGUAACCACCAGUUUCCCUCUCGGGGACAUUCUGCGCAAUAAAGACGCCAACGGCAGAAUAGUGAAAUGGGCGAUGGAAUUAUGCCCAUUUUCCCUGGAGUUCCAGAGCCGCACCACAGUCAAGUCUCAGGCCCUGGUCGAUUUCAUUGCUGAAUGGACGGAUCUCAACGAGCCUCCCGUUCCCGAUGUCUCCGACCACUGGUCAAUGUUCUUUGACGGAUCCUUGAACAUCAACGGUGCUGGCGCUGGGAUACUGUUCGUAUCGCCUAACAAGGACAAACUGUGUUACGUUCUUAGGAUCCUUUUUCCAGCGUCAAACAAUGUCGCCGAAUACGAAGCAUGCCUACACGGCAUAAGGCUCGCCGUCGAGCUGGGUGUCAAAUGCCUCUACGUCUAUGGCGACUCUGCCUUGGUUAUCAACCAGCUCAACAAGGAGUGGGACGCAACCCACGAGAAGAUGGAUCUCUACUGCAAAGAAAUUCGCAAAUGGGAAACCAACUUCUACGGCAUAGAGUACAUCCACGUGGUCCGGGAUAAGAACCAGGCAGCAGAUGCGUUGUCGAAGUUAGGGUCAUCCCGGGCCCAGAUCCCGCGGGGUAUUUUCGUCCAGGACAUCCACGAGCCAAGCGUAGGCUCCACCCUAGUCGAAAAGCAACCCACCGAGGCAAUGCUCAUAGACGAUGCCACUCCGACAACCGGUGGUCAUGACUGGCGUACCCCGUUCAUCAAGUAUAUAUCGGAUGGGACAGGCUUUCAGGACAAAACAGAGAACGAACGCCUCAUUCGACGGUCAAAGAACUACAUCCUGGUCGACGGUAAACUCAUGCGAAAAAACGCAAGCUCUGAAGUACUGCUCAAGUGCAUAUCCCAAGAUGAUGGUAUCAAACUCCUAGAAGACAUACAUGCUGGAUCCUGCGGCAAUCACGCCGCAUCCAGAACGUUGGUCGGAAAAGCCUUCCGGGCAGGUUUUUAUUGGCCAACCGCGGUCAACGACGCAGAAAAACUGGUUCGACACUGCGAGGGAUGUCAGUUCUUCGCUAAGAGGACCCACGUACCUCCUCACGAAAUUCAAACCAUCCCAUCGUCCUGGCCCUUUGCUUGCUGGGGGCUUGACAUGAUCGGGCCAUUUAAACCAGCUCCCGGCAACUUCAAGUUUGUUUUCGUGUUAAUCGACAAGUUCUCCAAGUGGAUCGAAUACAUGCCUCUGGUCAAGGCAACCUCCGAGAAGGCCGUGGAGUUCCUCAAUCAAAUCAUACACAGAUUCGGCAUCCCGAACAGCAUAAUCACCGACCUGGGUACUCAGUUCACUGGCACCACAUUUUGGGACUUCUGCGAUGACAGAGGCAUAGUCAUAAAAUAUGCGUCAGUGGCUCAUCCACGGGCCAAUGGUCAAGUCGAACGCGCAAACGGAAUGAUCAUUGACGCCCUAAAGAAAAGGCUGUACACCGAGAACGACAGAGCACCCGGUCGAUGGAUGAAGGAGUUACCGGCAGUGGUCUGGGGCCUCCGAACUCAGACCAGUCGGAACACAGGAGUGUCUCCCUACUUCAUGGUUUACGGCUCCGAGGCAGUCCUGCCGUCUGACAUAACCUUUGGAUCUCCCAGGAUUGAACAAUUUGACCAGGUGACAGCCGACAACGCCAGAGAACUCGAAAUCAACUGCAUGGAGGAAAAGCGUUUGAAUUCUUGUCUCCGAACAGCAAAGUAUCUCGCGACAGUCAGGCGAUACCACAACAGGAACGUCAAGGACCGUUCCUUCGUGGUCGGCGAUCUGGUACUUAGGUGGAGAACAAGGCAAGAAGGAAUGCACAAGCUAUCCACUCCCUGGGAAGGACCUUUCGUGGUCGCCGAAGUCACACGACCCACGUCCUACAGAUUGGCAUACCCAGACGGAACACGUGUGCCUAACUCUUGGCACAUAGACAAACUGCGACGAUUUUAUCCAUAAGUUCUAAUAACUUUCGCUUGCAAAUAUCUUAUAAUUGUCAAUAAUAAAGUUUUCUAUUUUUUGCCUAUACUUUGUUGGACGCGGAACUCGGCAAAACUUCUACAACGGAAGCUCUUAGCGACUACAAAGUCAAAUACAGUGACACGUCACCCAGAUAAUUACACAGCGCUCAAAAUAACAGUCAUGACAAAAGCAAACUUUAUUACAAACUUUACACACAAAGUUUACAAUAAAUACCCUGACGGGCAGACGCUAGUCUAUUCCUACAGACUACCCUAUUGGCCUAACUGCUCGGGCUGAUCACCCGCCUGGCCCUGCUGCCCGGACGAAGGGGUCGGGGCCACCGGCGCCUGGCUGGUCGAGACCGCAGGCGUCGACCGCCCAUCUCCCGCAAUGGACGUGCCUGACAGCUCCCUGGCCGACCUGUCUGAACCCGGCUGGUCUGGGGGAGUGGCCGUUCCGCACAGAUUGAUGUCGCCGAUCAGCGUCCACGACAAGUCCAGCAGACCACCCCGAAGCUCGUCCGCCUCCUGUGGGCCGACCUCCUUGGGAUACCCCUUCUCCAGCCUGGUCAGGUCGACCAGGGGGUAGUUGGCGCGCACCAUGCUAAGGACAUGCGCGCCAGCAAACUCCCCGGCAUCCUUUACGAAUUGCUGGAGCCAGUCCCACGCCCGUUGCGCCUUCUCCACUGGAGUCAACUUCGGCGCGCGGGGCUGGCUCUCCGGAAGCUCGGGACUAAUCAGAUCUAGGACCGGGGAUACUCCUUUCUAGAUCUUACAACAAUUAACCUUCCAGGAGUCCCUGUCCUUGACCAGCUCAUCCAGGUGCUUCUUGGCGUUUACCUUGAGCACUGCGAUUCAAGCAGGGCGUUAUUUUCGAUAUAUCAAAAAACAAAGGGACGACAAGCGGCAGAUAACGAGGCGGCGCGCAUUACCAGAUAACUCCCGGUCCUUCCGACCCAAUUCCUCUCCUGCUCGGCGCCCGGACUCCAGCGCACCGGCGAGCUCCAGGCUGAGCUGCUCUUUCUCCUGUCGGAGGCACGCCACCUCCUCCUCCAAGCCUACGUGAAUCAUAACCUGGUCAGUAAAGCAGGCUACGCAGCUACACAAAGCUGCUCGGAGCGCGUGACUAACCUUCUCGCUGCCGGUACUGGUCGGCCAAGCGACGAGUGAGCUCGAGAUGACGCUCCUCCUGGGCGUUCAUCUCGGCCACCUUCUCCCCGACCUCCGACCGUAGCCGGUCCACCUCCGUGGUCAGGGCCUUGUUUUCGGCCACAAUUCCUUCUAUCUGGUCGAAGCACCUCUUCCGGUACUUCGCCGUUGUCAUGGCACCCUGCAAGAAGGUCACAUGUCAUCCCAGCAAGAUAACAACAAAACAAAAAGGAAAAAAAAGUCGAUCGGGGCAAAGAGUCACUUACCUUAACCUCAUCUACAAGACGUUUGGCUGCACGCUCCACCCUCGCAGCCUCCUCCGUCUCUGCAAGCUCUUCAUGACCAAUAAAGUGGUCCCCGCGUUGGCGCCACACGUAGACAUGCUGGUGGCCAUCACGGGGACGACCCUGGACCUCCUCCACGUCGUCGUCCGAGGCUUCCCGGGGCUCCUCAUUCGCCGCGCUGUUCUCGGCUGCGGUCGAAGGCAUUACGGGCCCCCGGCCUAGGCCAGGAGAGCUCGCGGGUGAAGAAGCCCCUGCUCAGGGCGGUGUCGGGCCCCUCCCUUCUUCGGCUGGAGUCGGGAUUCGGUUGUCCUCCUGAGCAGCAGCGCUCGGGGGAGGGGUCCUCGAAGCCUCCUCGUUCCUCGGCGGAGUACUCGCCGCGACACUCGCUGGGGCAGACUGCCCCUCUGUGCCUGCAGCAGCAGCCGUCACCGUAGGCUGAUCCAUGGCCUGCGGCGCGGCGUCGGCGGCGGCAGGAUCGGAUGCCCCCUGGUCGGUGGCGUGGUCGGGAUUGACAUCCGACGCCGCGCUAGAAGAACAAAGUACAUCUUAAAAAAAACGCCAAAAUACGUAAGUCGAACACUUACAGGUCCGAUCGACGGUGGGUCGCGCUGAACCUCCUCCUUGCCCGGCCGGUCGGCGCCUGCGCCCCCAUCUCGACAACGCGCGGAGCAGGAGGGUCGCUGGCACCCGAUCAGUAGUGGCCGGCGCACUAUCUGGGCGGCUCCGAGGUCGUCGAACUAGCGACGGUGCGGCCUCCUCGUCGUCGUCGUCGUCAACGAUUCGCACGAGCCGACGACGCUUCGGCGCUUGGCUGCUCUCCACCGGCAACGUCGGUACCGGCAAAGGAUCUGCCGCCAGUGGCCUUUUCCCCGCCACCCUCUCCUCGGUGGUUGGGACGGGGCGGGCCUGGUCCUCCUCACUGCUGGUGUACCGAUCACACCGUGCAGCAUCCUCUACCAGCGGAUCCUCCAUUGCGGGAUCCUCCAUCCCAGGCGCCAGUGACACAUACACUGUGCACCUGUCUACAUCUCCGAUCUACAAAAAGAAAUACAAACAAGUCAGCAUCCGACGAUAUAACGAAUGCUAAGGAGUCAGUCAGUAAAGGACAUUACCUUAGGGGCUGGUCCUCCCAGCUUGAAAGCUUGCACCCGAUCGCUACCACGGAUGAAGCCCCCGUCAGCAAAGUUGAACAAUUCGUUCAACAACUGCUGCACCUCUUCCUUCUCCAGGACCUCAGGCCUCAUCCUGGUCGGGUCCUGGCUCCCGGCGUACUCGUACGCCGAGUGCACCCUCUUCUGGUAGGGCAUCCCUCGACGGCAAACAAAGUUGCCGACCACCCCUAGCCCGUCCAAGCGCGACCAGUCGAUCAGCUUCAUCAAGUCUGCUACUUGUCCGUCGAAUUCUGGGCGGUCGGUCCAACUGACCCUCUUCUCGGGGAUGUACCCCACGUCACAGAACGUGGAGCUUCCCGGCUCCUCCCUGACAUAGAACCAUUUCUUAUACCACUCGGUAAGAGAGGUAUUCCAAGGGCAGUUCAGGUACCGGUUUUUCAUCCCGUCCCGGAGAUUGAGGUAUACUCCACCUGCAAUCUUGGAGCCUCCAACUGCUCCCUUCUUCCUUAAGCAGAAAAGAUAACGAAAGAGAUCGAAGUGCGGCUCUAUGCCAACAUAGGCCUCGCACAGAUGGAUAAAAGUGGAGAUGAGGAGAAUUGAGUUCGGGUGCAGAUUGCAAAUCCCGAUCUCAUAAUACAAAAGAAGACCUUGAAGAAAAGGAUGAACAGGAACCCCAAAGCCCCUCUUAAUGAAAUCUUCAAAUACGACGAUCUCACCGGCGCGGGGGUCGGGGUAGCUCUCUCCCUCCGGUGCCCUCCAGCCGCCGAGCUCCGGGCUGUGCAGAAGGCCCAUAUCGACGAGGUCACCAAGAGAUUUGGUGGUGCUGCGGGACUUCUUCCACUCCUUGGCCAUCAGUUCGGCCCUCUUCUUAGAGUCGCUCUUCGCCAUUGGAGGCGAGAAAGUGGGCUUGAGUUAGGAAGAUGCAGGUGAUUAAAGGAGGCAAGAGUGGAAGGCUUGAAGGCAAUGGCAGGGUAAGCAGUACAGGCGGAACUGUCGGGCUCUUAUAACCCGCAACUCCACCUAUCCCACUUCCCGUAUUCUCGGGAAGUGGGCGGGCCAUGCGGCGGAUGCGGCGUUUCAGUUUUCAAUGAUUAUAGACAAUUAAUGCGGCGGAGUUUUUGUAUCAAUUGAUGGUUUCCUUUUCUCAAACCAUGCAAAGGGUGGCUGCACAGUUGCCAGGCGCAACUUUUCACGCAUCCAUCUAACACCCCGUCAGGAGGUCUCGUCACGUCAACUUUAACUGGAAAGAUCUGUUCAAAAGCAAGAAGACAAAUGUGGCAGAGAGUCAACAAUCCGGGAACUGCACCGACCACCGAGCACUUGAUGCUCGGGGACUGGUCGCCCAGUCUAUCAGCUCGGAACUUCAAAGACUGCACCGACCACCGAGCACUUCAUACUCGGGGAUUGGUCGCCUAGUUUAUCGACUUGGAACUUCAAGGACUGCACCGACCACCGAGCACUUGAUGCUCGGGGACUGGUCGCCCAGUCUAUCAGCUCAGAACUUCAAAAUAUCGCACCGACCACUGAGCGCUCGAUGCUCGGGGACUGGUCGUACAGUAUAGCAAUGCAGAAUUCUAAGGAGCGCACUUGGUGCUUGGGGACUGGUCGUCAUACUAUUGUACACCCGGGGACUGGUCGAUUAGUCCAUUUAAUUGCCGACGAACUGGUAAAUUUAGUUUUUUAGACCUUGCUACAAGGCUCAUACUUCGCCUUCCAGCAAGCUCGGGGACUACAUCGGUACGAUGCAUCUGGCGAUGCAUCUCAGUUACAGAAUUUCUUUGAGGACUUUUCUUUUGACCCUGGCACCACGUGCCUACGUCACCUACUACCAGGCUCGGGGACUAAGUGGGCACACUUCACCUUGCGGUGAAUAUGCUUGCUUUUUUGAGAAUAAUACCUUACAAAAAAGUAAAGUGGGCACACUUUACCAGGAAAGAAAUCUUUUUUAAUUUAGAGCACCAUGCAUUCUUCGAACAACCUGCUUCUUCGAUGUCAAUGAUGAUCAACUGUCUUUUGAGUUGGCCAAAGUACCGUUGCAACUAUUUGGGCGACUUUCCUGCUUAUUGAAGACGUCAAGCCUCACUGAUCGAAGAAGCUCAAGACGGCGUGUUACAUCACAAUACAUGGUGCUCGGGGACUAGCUGUGGGGGUAUAAACCCCUAUACCCUCACGGCUAGACUUGGGCCAGGAGGUUUGGCCCAUUACGUGACGAGUUCAAGGCUUGAUCCGACUGCUUGGAGUUUCGCGCAAGGAGACAAGAUGUGGAGAUCAAGCAGGAUUCUAGUCGGUUAGAAUAGGAAUUGAUAUCAAAUUAUCCAUGGCAAUUGUAACCGACUAGGAUUAGUUUCCAGAUCUGUAACCCUGCCCUCUAGACUAUAUAAGGAGGGGCAAGGGAGCCCCCUAGGACACAUUGUUCCCUCAACACAAAUCAAUACAACCAGACGCAGGAUGUAGGUAUUAUGCCAACUCGGCGGCCGAACCUGGAUAAAAAGCUUGUCCGUGUCUUGCGUCACCAUCGAGUUCGUAGUUUGCGCACCGUCUACCGAUAAACUACUACUGUGGGUGUACCCCAAGGUAGACUGCCGACCAGCUUUCGUCGACAGUACCCCUGUGAGGAAAAGAGUGCAGACCUUGGAUUGCAAAAAGGUAGAGAGAAAAAGAAAACAAGUGUAUCUAAAGACAUGGAUGCCGCCGCUUAUUUUGCGGGGGUCAUCCUUACACUCAAAUGUAAAAUCUUCGUAGAUUGUCGACGUUCCACGUGUGGGUGGAGGUUCUACCUUCGAGGUCUUUCAGGUAGAAGGAUCCCGACCUUCCAGUUUGUAUUGCUGUAUAAGGUCCCUCCCACUUGGGUUGCAAUUUACCAGCGUGUGGGUGAUCUCCUUUUUUCCUGAGUACCAAGUCUCCAUCUUGUAUGUCUUUCCGUACUACCUUUCGGUCUCUCCAUUUUCUGGUUUCUUGUUGAUACGUGGUAAUGUUCUCUACUGCCUCAAGUCUUAUUGAUUCUAAGGUUUCCUUGCAGUACCCUUCAUCUUCAGCCAACUCCUGCUUCAUGGAACGUAGACUUUGGUGUUUGAUUUCUUCUAGCAACAUCGCUUCUUCCCCAUAUAAGAGCUUGAAUGGGGUGAACCCGGUUGCUCUUGAGACUGUUGUGUUAUGAGACAACACAACUCUAGGUAGCUCGUCAACCCAUUUCCCCUUUCGUAGGUUGAGUAAGGUCUUGGAGAUUGCGGAGAAUAUUAUUCUGUUUGCUCUCUCGACGGCCCCGUUUGACUCUGGGUGGUAGACAGACGUGAAAGCAAUCUUGGUUCCUAUGUGACGGCAGAACUCCUUGAAAUUGUCUGAAUCAAACUGCUUUCCGUUGUCGACUGUGAGCAAGCUUGGAACUCCGAAUCUGCAAACUAUGUUCUGCCAGAAAAAAUUUUUGAUCGUUUCAGAAGUUAUGGUUGCCAGUGGCUUAGCUUUGAUCCAUCUUGUGAAGUAUUCGAUGGCCAUGACGGCGAACUUGUUUCCCCCCUGGGCAGUUGGCAUCGGUCCUACUAGGUCCAUUCCCCAUCUUUGCAGCGGCCAUGAUGCAGAUAUGAGCUGAGUUGGUGCUGAAGGUCCUGAUUGCAUCGUUGAGAAGGUUUGGCAGGCUUUGCAUGUCUGCACUAUUUCUUCAGCAUCUUUGACGUGAGUUGGCCAGUAGAAGCCUUGUCUUAAUGCUUUGGCAGACAAUGUGCGAGGUCCAAUGUGAGACCCGCAUAUUCCAGAGUGUAUCUCUUGCAGGAGUUCUCUGCCCUCAGUUUGUGAUAUGCAUUUCAGCAAAGGUUGGACUACACCUUUCUUGUACAAGGCACCGUCAAUGAUGGUGUAAUUCCUUGCUCUUGUCUCCAUCCUCUUGGCUAAUGCUUCAUCAUCUGCAGCUGUUUUGCCUUUGAGGGAGUCAGCUAUUGCCUGCCUCCAAUCCUCGCCUUCUGUCAGCAGGACUGAGCGAAAAGCUUUCGGCAACGAUUCAGUUGUGGGUGCCACGAUGAUUUGGUAGAAGGUUUCUUCUGGUAAGGGGGUGUUGCUGGCUACCGCUUUUGCUAGCUCAUCUGCCUCGUAAUUCUCGGCUCUUGGAAUGUACUGCAGAGUGAACCCUUUGAACCUUCUCUCCAGGUUCCCCACGACGGCCAAAUAUCUUGCUAGCUCCGGGUUGUGUGCUAGGUAUUCCUUCUCCACUUGUCCUGCCACCACCUGGGAGUCUGUUUUGAUGAGCAGGGUUUUGGCUCCCGAAGCCUUAGCUUUGUUGAGCCCGAGGAUGAGCCCUUCAUACUCAGCUAUGUUGUUUGUUGCUUUGAAUUCAAGUCUCGCGGCAUAUUUCAGCUUGAGGUCGGAUGGAGCGAUCAGAACGGUUGCUGCUCCUAUUCCUGAUUGCCCCCAGGCGCCAUCUGUAUACAGUGUCCAUGGUUGGUCGACUACCUUCUCAUUUUCUUUGUUCGAAGGUGUCCAAUCUGCCAUGAAGUCAGCUAGGGCUUGAGACUUGAUGGAGGUUCUGGGGACAUAGGUGAUUUCGAACUGCGAUAGCUCAGCCACCCAUUUCCCUAUGCGCCCGGAGGCCUCCUUGUUCCUAAGGAUGUCACCAAGUGGCUGUGAAGUGGGUACCUGGAUCUCAUGGCUUUGGAAGUAAUGUUUGAGCUUUCUUGAUGCACAUAGAACUGCAUAUGCGAUUUUUUCUAUCUCUAUGUAGUUCAUCUUUGCUCCUGACAAAGCUUCGGAUACAUAGUAGACGGGUCUCUGAACCUUCCCCUUGUUGUUACUUGUCUCGUGCACCAAAACAGCGUUGACGGCAUGCUCAGAGGCAGCCACAUACAGCAGUAGGGGAGUGUCUGGCUCGGGCACAGUUACCACCAGAUUGGUCGCAAUGUAGUUCUUGAGCCGCCUGAAGGCCUCUGACUGUUCCGGGCCCCAUCCUGUUUUGCCUUCUCCUCUUAACACUUUGAAGAAUGGUAGGCUUCGCUCCGCUGAUCUUGAGAUGAAUCUGUUGAGGGCUGCUUUUCGGCCAGUUAGCCUUUGCACUUCUUUCUUGUUCGAAGGUUCUGCCAUUGACAUAAUUGCCUUUGUUUUGUCUGGGUUAGCUCUGAUUCCUUCGGAGCUGAUGAUGUACCCCAGCAUUUUUCCCUUGCUGACCCCGAAUACGCAUUUUUCCGGGUUAAGUUUCAGCCCGGUAGACCUGAGGUUGACAAAGGUUUCUUGCAGGUCCUUGAUAUGAUCCUCUUUGCAUUUGCUCAUGACGACAACGUCGUCGACGUAGGCUAUGAUGUUCCUCUGCAGCUGACUUCCCAGGACCUUCCCCAUCAUUCUAGAGAAGGUUGCUCCUGCAUUCUUGAGGCCUUCCGGCAUUCUGGUGUAGCAAUAUGUGCCAAAUGGAGUUGUGAAACUUGCCUUUCCCUCGUCUUCCUUCUUGAGCCAAAUUUGGUGGUAUCCUGCAGUGAAAAUCUCUGGCAAUCGGUGGCUUUGUCAACAGAGGUAUCUAUCCUUGGCAAGGGGAAGGAGUCUUUGACACAAGCUUUGUUGAGAUCUGUGAAAUCUAUGCACAUUCUCAUUUUGCCAUUCUUCUUAGGGAUCAGGACCACAUUUGCCAACCAUUCUGGUUACAUGAUCUCUCUGAUGACAUUCGCAUCCAGAAGUCUUUGCACCUCUGCCUUCGCCGCUAAGGUUCUUUCCUCAGACAUCUUCCUCUGCCUUUGUUUCUUCGGCCUCAUUCUUGGGUCGAUGUCCAGUGAAUGCUCUAUGAUGUCUCUGCAGGUCAGUGGCACUCCAGGCAAAGAUAUCCUGAUUCUUCUAUAGCACGUCCAGCAACUCAACCUCCUCCUGCAUGCUGAGGGUAGCGGAUAUGGUGACUUUCCUAUCUGGUACUGCCGCCUGUAAAGGGACACAUUUCGUUUCCUCUUGAUCGGCCAGGUCUGUUUUCCCCCUUGGCAUGUCUAGUGGCUGGGAAGCUUCUUCUUGCGUGGAGUCUACGAAGUUUAUAUUUCGGAAGGACUUAUAGAUCGCUUUCUCUAUGUUUCUUGCCUCCUUUUGACUCCCGUGAACAGUGAUCACUCCAUGGAGGGCCGGGAUCUUCAUGCAUAGGUAUCCCAUAUGAGCUGCCGCAUUGAAUUUGUUUAAGAACCCUCGCCCGAAUAUGGCGUUGUAUGGGUAGUGCAGGUCUACCACGUCGAAGGUGACAUACUCUGUUCUUGCGUUUUCCGUCGUGCCAAAGGAUACAGGUAGGGCGACCUUACCCAGAGCAUGUAUCUGCUUUCCUCCGAACCCGAUCAAGGGUGAUUCCGAAGGUUGGAGCUUGCUUCUGCUGAGCUUCAUUUUGUCGAAGGUUCCGGCAAAUAUUAUGUCUGCGGAACUUCCUGAAUCUACUAAGAUCCUGCUGACUCCCCAACCCGCAAUAUUUGUUGUUAUGACCAUGGCGUCCGUGUGUGGGUAGCUUUCUAACCAUAGAUCUUCCUCGGUGAAGGUUAAUGGGGUUCUGGACCAAUCGGUGCAGCGGACCGGCCCCUGAACCGCAACAUUGUUAACGAGCCGGAGGUGAUCCUUCUUCUGCUUCUUUGUCUGGAACUCCAUUGAGAACCCUCCAGCUAUUGGUAAGAUCAUCCCAAUCGUGGGCAGCGGUGUAUGGGGGCCGAUCUAAUUAUCAGGGUGGGGUUCGGUUUUUGGUGGAGGUGGAGCCUGGACCAAUUGUAGUUGAUUUGGGGGAGGAGGUAGGGGCUGCUGGUGGGGUUGUGGGGUUUCGAUGUAUGUAAUCUGUGGAGGUCGUGGAGGAGCAUAGGUCGGUGGAAGGUUGUGGUGUGCGGGCUGCUGGGCUGGGCGCCAAGCUGGUAGGAAGCUGGGAUAGUAAGCGGAUGCUAGCGCGCUGGGCUGAAUUGGAGCUGGGUGCUGCUGGCCCGAUCCUUCGACGUAUGACUGGUAGAAGGUCUGGGGGAAUGUGUGAUUCACCUCCCGAGGUUGAGCGACCGACGGCGAAGGUUGCGGAGCUGACCUGCUCUUGAUCCUCUCCUGAGUUUCUUUUGCAUCCGGGCAAUCCCUGGUGGAGUGACCCUUCUCCUCCCCAUGGAAGAAACAAUACUGCUUCCGCGGCCGCUGCUUCUGAUUCUUUUGCCAUCCUGUGUUUCCACCUCCUCCUCCUCCGGCUUGAUUGGGUCCGCGUUCCGGGUUUCACGGCUCUGCCGGUGGACGGUUAUGCUCCGACUUGUCAUUCCUCGGUUGCUCAAUAUUCAUCAUCUGUCCACCAGCCUCUCGCUGUUGCUGGCGUUCAUCCCGGCUAAGGUUCUUCUUCUGUGAGUUUCUAUCAUUGCUCUGCUUCUUCUGAGAGUUUUGGUCUUCCAUUCUCUUGCGGUAGUCGUUGUCUGACCUGCAAUACUUCUCAAACUCAUUGUACAGCUCGUGCAUGGAUGCUGGCUUUUCUCUGGCCAAGUGAGCUGCAAAGGGCCCUAUGCGAAGACCUUUGAUGGCUGCCUCAAUGGCAACCUCCUCCGGCACACCGGGUGCUCUUGCCUUAGUCUGCACGAACCUUUGGAAGUAUUCCCGCAGUGCUUCUCCUUGACUCUGGCGACACUGGAACAGGUCCGUGGAGGUUAGCGACUCAACAGCGAAUCCUUGGAAAUUUGCUAAAAUCUUAUCUCGAAGGUUCUCCCAUGAAUAGAUCGACCCGGGCCUGAGCAUAGAGUACCAUGCCAAGGCAUCUUCUUCGGCCGCGAUCACAAAGGAUUUAGCCAUCACAGUUUUAUUCCCUCCACCUGAAGCUACAGCUGCCUCGAAACUCAUCAGGAAUUGGUGGGGGUCAGCCUUUCCGUUGAACUUAGGGAGCUUGAUUGGUUUGUAGGUUGUCGGCCAAGGUGAGGUCUGCAAUCCUUCGGACAGAGGGGAACGAAGGUCCAACGUGCUCCGCAGCGUGCUACCGUAGUUCGCCGGCUGCACAUCCAACGUUGGGCCGGCGCUGGGCAGAACAGUGGGCUGGAUCGUCGGCUGAGGUGGAGGUUGUAUGCUAAGGAUCUCUACCUGCAGGAUUGAAAGCUGCUGCCUGAUCUCAGCUGCUUGCACCGCGGCCACUGCUGCCUCUUAGCCGGCGGCAUAGGCGGCAGCGAUCCGGUCUCGCUCCAGCUGAAGGUUCUGCAACUGCGUCUGCAGUAGCUGGAGCUCUUGCGUGGCCGUGGGUUGUGCCGGCCCUGCGGCGGGAGGAGGUUCCUGGCCGGGCUCCGGUUGCUCGUUCUCCGGCUGCUCGCCCUCAGAGCCUUCCCCCUCUACGGUCGCAUACGUGCUCCGCACGGCCCUUCUCGGCCUUCCUCACCUCGAGGGCUCCGGCUGAGGUCUUGUGGUGGUUGAUCUCUUUCUAGCCAUCGCAGGUGAUCCUUCGCGCCCCACGGUGGGCGCCAAUGUUGGGAAAAUGCUCUUCGCACUCCCCAGCAAUGCAGUGAAGCGAGAACCUUCUCACUCGGUGCCGUGAGAGGAUGAACAGUAACGAACAGAAAGCUCAACAGUAGGUGAAUACAAUGAAUGCUCUCUCUCUCUCUUAUUAAUGACGGUAUCACGCCCCUUAUAUAGGGCUCAGAAACCGACCUAAUGACAUUUACAAAAAUGCCCCGUGACGGUGGGGAAUAUCCCAGCAUAUUCUCAUAUUACAGUCUACUGGCCCUAAACCAAUUGUGUAAUUUCACAUUACAAACCCCAGGUAUGUCCCCUGUCUGAGGCUUCAGCUGGUCGAAGGCUUGGAUCCUUCGCCCAAUCGCGGAUCCUCCGACGCUUUGGUGUCGGAGGUUCCCCAGCCUGGCCGGGCCGGAGGUUCCACGGCCUGGCCACACUAGAACUUCCUCAGUCUGCCUGGUCACCGAUCCUUCGACGCUUCACCGUCGGAGGUUCCUCAGCCUGGCCGGACCGGAGGUUCCUCGGCUUGGCCGCGUCCCUCGCCCAUCCUUGGACUUGGGAGGAUCGGAGGUUCCCCCAUUUCUUUGCUUGCGGGCCUCCGCCGGCGUCUCAGUCCCUGCGUACACUUAGCAAGGCAAGAUGAGUCGUCAACGUUAGUUUUUCUCAGGAACCCCCGCACGUAUUCGUACGGAGGUUCCCUGGGUGAAGGAUAUCCUUCGACGCCACCAGGGGGAAGGAUGCGGCCAGCCCCCAACACUCGAUAUUAGGAAAGGAGAUCACCUCUUUGUAGUCCUUGAUUUGAGCUCACCUUAUAAUCAUGGUUGUAUCUAAAGGUGCCUUGUUCUCAUAACAUUCGCUAAUUCUUCAAGCGAAAUUAACCUUUGUUGGACCAACUCCUAGAUCUAGAAGAGGCAGCCAACGGAGGUGUCGGUAAUGGUGGUGGAGUCCAGAACCCUAGGAUUGGGAAGCGGUGGGGAAUCAAUGGUCCAAAGUUGGCCAAAGAACACCACAAGCUCCUCACCCUCUUCCGUCAGGGGCCCAAAGUGGUGUCUCCUAUGACUACACCAUCACUCACUUGUGGGUCCGUGUAACAUCCCUGAUGUUACGGUUACUAAAAACGGAUCAUGUCAUCAUAAGCAUGGUAAAGCAUAAAUGUUAAAGCACAUUAGUAUGCAUCAACUUAAAAAUAAGUUUACUUUGAUUACUUGAGCUUAGGGAAGUAGAGUGUGUUUUUGUGGUGUGUUGUUGCUUGUGUGGUUGCUAAAACCCUAGGGUGGAAGUUUUCCGAAGAGCUAAGGGGGGGGAAAACCCUGAUUUUUGAACCCUAGAACUGCCCCCUUUUGUGCAAUUCAAAAACUAAGCAAAAUUUGAGGUUGAGUUCAAAAGCAAAGUUGUAGAUCCUGGAAAGAUGUACAACUUUGGUGUUUUGAGUUUUUGAAGUUUCAAUACAAAAUUCAAAGUAAUUUUGAAAAUACAGAUUUCCAGAAAGUGUCCCCUUUUCCAACUUAAACCCCCAAUUCAAAAUCCAUUUGGAAUUUUGAAAAGUGGUCAACAUGAAAGUUGUAGAGCACAAAAAGUUGAGCAACUUUCAUGUUGGGAGUUUUUCAAGUUGUUAUACAAAAUCAAAAGUAAUUUUGGAAAUUCUGUUUUGCCCCAAUUCAAAAAUUUGGAAUUUCUUUGAUUUGAGUUUGAUUUUCAAACUGUUUGGCCAAAUUCACCCUGUUACACUCAAAAUCAGCUCUGGUCACCAAAACAUGUUUUGUAGCUUAUAAAAUUUGGCACAAUUUUUGUUUUGGUGGAAUUUGGAGUUUAGUUCAAAUUUUGGCUGAUUUUCGCAAGGGGACAAAAGAGAGGAGAUAAGGGGGAGCUACAGUGAUCGGCAGGGGGGGGUGUUCUGCCGCCGGGGCAGAGCCGCCUCCGCGCGCGCCGCCACGCAGCUGGCCACGCAGCUGCCUGCUGCCGUGCUUCGCGUGGACGUCCUCAUCCGCAAACCGCCGUUCGUUGUGGGGAUAAAGCCCCGAGUGGCCAGAGUCCCCUCUUCCUUUUCUUGAACCCCGACGCCGACGAGCUCCCUGCGCCCCUCCAAUUCGCCUUACUCGCUGCCGUUUCAAGCCACCUGAGCACCCCAGCAGCUCCGCCGUGAGCCCAGCCACCAAUUGCGCCCCCAAGCGCAAGCACUAACCCACCAGAGCCCUUUCCCGAGCUGUUUCUCCCCCAACUCCGGCCGAGCACCACCGCAAGAGCGUCACCGUGGCCGGCUUCACCCUGCGCCUCCCCGCUGCUGUUUCUUGCUUCGUUGAAGUCGCGGUGAGCUACGGAUGCUCUUGCGCUGCUCAAUUAGCGUUUUACUCCGGUGUAGUGAUCGGUGUUCAUCUAACCGAGGCGGCCGUCCGCCGCGUCCGUGGCCGGGGUAGCUAGAGUAGGAGAGAGCAGGGGUAAAGGAGCUCUACGGGUGCGCAAGGGUCGGGAGAAGCUAACGCACCUCACCGCGAGUGCCGGGGUCUCACCGGUGUUGCGGUGAAGUUCGCCGGAGCGGUGGCGCGGGGUUGAAGGCGAAGCUGACGGGCGGGACCCGCCCGUCAGUCGCUGCGGGUGGAGAGGGGGCAGCGCGCGCCGUCCGCGCGGGAGCGCCCCUGGGCCGAUUUGGCCGUAUCCAAGCGGGCCAUCUGCGCGGCGCGUGAGCGGGCCGAGCGCGCGUGGGCUGGCCUGCGGGCUAAGUUCCAGGCCGCCCGCCUCAGGGAAAAACCUUUCUCUUUUUCCUUUUAUACAAAUUUUGCUGAAUGUUUGAAUUUGUGUAAUAAUUCGUGUGCUAAUCCAAAAAUCGUGGAAAUUUUUGUGUAGGCUCUCUGAAGUAAGUAGAACCCAAGAAAAAUAUUAAGUUCUGUUUUCUGGUAGUUUACAUGUCUGUAAAAAUUUGCCCUUUUAAUUAGCAAAUAAAACUUGUAUGAAUUCUAAUAAUUUAAUUGUAUGUCCAAAAAUCACCAAAAAUUGUGGGGAGCCUCUGAAUAUUAUUCCCUGGCUCCACCUAAAAUUUGGUGGCAUUUGGAUAAGGUUUGGUUAAAAUGUUAAUAAACCCUUAUUUAGUAUUUAAUUAAUCAUUCUAAAAUAAGUAAAUAGUGAUUAACUAAAUCUUCAUAAUUAGGGUUGAGUGAUUUUGGAUUAUGUGAUGACCUGAGGUCAUUAACCCUAAUGACCUUUGACAUGUAAAUAUUGUUUAGCCUUAAUGCUUAAUUAUUGUCAUUAGUAAUUAAUUAAGAAUUAAUUAAGGUAAAUAGGUUUAAUAAUUACCUAAUGUAAGAUAAUUAUGAAUUAAAUAAAGUCUUAGUUUACAGAUGCAACCUCUUGGGUAAAAAUAUUAAGUUAUUAAGCAACUUUAUUUGGUGAUAAUUCUAUACUGCAUUAAAAAGGCAAAUUGUACUUAAUUCGGUCCAUCUUGCAUAAUUGCCAUACGCAUAUCAUAAGCAUUCAUCAUUUUGCGUAUAGUGCACGUGACCGAAGGAGCGCCCGUUGAACCGAACCCCGAGGUCGGUGCUCCGUUCGAGGAAGUAGGAUCCGAGACUUGGGAAGUCUCCGAGGGUCCCUCUCUGCCCUGCAACCAAGGCAAGCCCCGGAUGCAUUAACCCCUCCUUGGUGUUUUAAAUCUUUUAUCACUUAUGAAUUGAAAAUGCUGCAUUAAGUAGUUGAGAAUUGGGUUAACCUACUUGCUGCAUUUACUACCUUGAUAUCUAUAUCCUGUCCUUGACACCUGUUUUAUUUUAAAACUGCGUAGCAAUGCUUAACCCUGCUACUAGAUAAGUUUUCAAACAAGAAAGUUUGAAGGGUUGUUGUGGGAUACACUUAUGGACAAUGAUAUUUCAACUUGAGACCGGUCGGUGGACUUGCUUUAAGAAUGGAGUCUUAAAGUAGUGUCUCCAACUGUGUCGGUUAAGGACCGGUCCGUUGAUGGCCUGCUGGGUUGAGAAUUUAUAGUACUAGCCACUUGCCUACGGUAAGCCCAGUCUUGUGAUCCCUCGACGCGAACAGCUACUCGCGCACUGGGAGUGGAAAGAUGGCGAGAGUAGUGUGUACCCACCUUACGGAUCUGAGAUGACCGGAAAACAUCUAGAUCGGCUGUAGGAUGGUGGAGUACUGUGCUCUCGGGUGCCGCGAACCUGGUCAAAUUUGGGAAGAGCUUGUUUUGGGUUGAUAUAUGCAAGAUUUGGUUCUACAUAUGUCGGGUGGUUAGGAACUCCAGCUGGAUUGCUAAGCGAUUCGAAUCGUCGUUGCUCCCCGAUUGGGAGACUCAAUUCCUUCGACCCUCAUCGUAGUUAAAUAUGCAACUAAGUGAUAUAAUGAGAAAGGGGAAAAUGUCUCAUGAGGUUCGGAUCCCAAUUCCCGGACUCAUAGCGACAUGAAGCUAUGACCAUCGAUAAAUAAUACUUAAUGAUAGGGUUAGGAACUCACGGAUUCGUCUGUGGGGAACAACUAGUUAGACUAUCCUCGAAUUCUUCUGCCUCUGCGAGGGAGGAAUUCAGGGUAAAACUUGAAAAUAAGGAUGCACUACUAGUAAGCUUUUCCGCAAAACACUUUGGCUCCUUGCUCAGCCACCCCUUGUCUACCCUAAGCCUGCAUCCCUAAAUUCUCCUCUUUUCCCGUCGGAUAAGUCUUGUUGAGUACUCCCGUACUCAGGGUUUCAAUACCCCUGUUGCAGGUGAAGCUCAGGAGCCGGCUUGUUUCGGACCCUGUUGUGUGACCGUCGUCGAGGUUGACGACGAAGAAGAGUGAGCGUGACCCAUGGGCAGGGUCUGUAAAUUUGUUGUGUCUCUACUAAAGUUUAAGUUGCUCCGCUGGACCAGGCUUGUAAUAACACUCUACUAUUUGGAAGAACUCCUUUUGUAAAUUAAGUUAUGUAAUACUUCCGCUGUUUCACUCCGAAAUGCUAUUUUGGUCUUGUGUCGUUGAGUUACUGCUUUAUCUUCGCAACGAAUGAUCCUGGUGUUAAGGUGGCCACUUGCUACCCUGUAAGGGCGAGAAGAAACAGUUCUCGUUGUUUGACCAUUAUCAGUGGUCAGGACGAGCCAGCUUGGUACGCCACAGGUAGCAGUGGUAUGAGCGCCCAGCAAUGCUCAUCGGACUUCUAAAGUGGGAGGACUCCCGACAUCGCCGUCAGAGGUCCUUAGGACAAUGGCAGGUGUCGGUGGGCCCAAACACUUAGGAGGUUCUGCCACAGCUGGUAUCAGAGCAUUCGUUGCUAAGAUGACUGCGGAACCUUUUGAAAAACUUCAACAAUUCGUUUGGAACUAAUACUAAGAACCUGCUUAUUUUGAGUCCAAGUGCUUAGUCCUGACCCACCCCUGUCUAUAGUUUUUCUUAGAAUUUUUGAAGUGGGUUGGAGGAGCAACCUAAAGUAUUGCCCUAUGUUGUAAAAGUUAAAGUAAUAUCGUUACGAAUUGUUAGUAGGAAUCGUAAGUUCGUGCAUGCAUCAUAAUGUAUUAACUGAUUAAGUUCCUUCCUCCUUGUUUGGGUUGGGUGAAUAGAAUCAAUCCUAUUCUUGCUAACCUUUAAGGUCUCUCUUACUAAUCUAAACUUACCCUCUACAGGAUGGCUCGUCAGAAGCAGACCCCGCGUAAGCGGACAGGUCCAAAAGGAGUUCCCCGACAUCAGCUAGCUCCACGUAGUGAUCAAGCCAGUAGUAGCCGCACACCGCCUCAGCAGGAGGUGGACAGGCUGUCCGCCGAGUUGACUGAGGUGAUGAGAGAGAGAAUGUACAAUGUUAUGGAGAUUGGCAAACUCAAAGCUCAACUGGCCAAAGAAAAACAAGCUACAGAAAAUUGUGAAGCUAUGUUGUCCCGGAUGGUGGAGGAGCGGAAUGCAGCCGUUGCUCGAGAGGAAGAAGCUAGGAGCACCCAUAGGCAUGAGCUAACUAGGAUGAACGCAAAGUUGGGCAAGGCAAAGUAUCUCAAGGAUUUGUAUGUGAAGAUGGCGGCCACGGUCACCGCACAACGGGAUGUCGCGUGGCAACGAGAGGACCAGCUCCAGCUGGAGAAACUGGAGCUGGCAUAUCACUUAGAUACAGUCAAUGACAUGGCUAUGCAAUAUCGUGAUAUUGCAUUUGAUCUGUAUCAUCAACUCCACCCACCUCCCGGCGAAGGAGAAAUGGAUACGGAUGGCGAGUUGGCAGACGAUGGAGAACCCGACCCCGGCCUCAGUGGUGAAGAGGAGUCCGACCCCGAUGAUCACAACCCAGGGGGUAAUCAAGAUGAUGGCAACAACGACCCGGGCUACAGCUCUGGCCACACCGAUUAGUUCGGUGAAACCGAGGGCAACGUCGUUGUAGGGGUCUUAGCUUGCCGUAGUGGGGUUCGGAUUUGUAAUAUAAGUUUUCUUUCGGUUUGAGAAGUUGAACUUGUUUACUCUUGGUGUGUAUCUAAUUAGUGUUUAAUAAGUGAAUGUAAGAUAUGUUCUGGGUUAUGAAUUCUACAUGGUAACAGGUAUCUACGAUUCUUGUAACAGAUGCCGAUGCGUACUCGCGGAUCCGAUGGAGCUGGGACAUCCCAGGGAGGGGAUGAUAUCCCCAACCCUCCACCUGCUCCACCUUCUUUGGCUGACGCCAUUGCUGUCCUGCUAAGUGCCACAACUGACAAUGCUCGCUUGCUGCGCGAGCUAGCACAGCGUCAAACACACCCUGCUUCACACUCUAGGGCACCGCGCAACGGGGAUGGAGAGGCUCGGUAUGUGGAUUUCACCGAGACCAGGCCCCCGGUGUUCACUAAGGCCGAUGAGCCUUUAGAAGCGGAUGACUGGCUCCGAACUAUGGAGCAUAAGUUCAGUUUAAUUCAGUGUUCAGAAACUCAGAAACCCUUAUUUGCAGCCCAGCAGCUUCGGGGAGCUGCAGGUGCUUGGUGGGAGAACUUCUUAGCUAUUCAAGCUCCCGGACACCAAGUUACCUGGACCGAGUUUAGGGACGCCUUUCGCGCCCACUAUAUCCCCGAAGGGCUCAUGGCCAUGAAGGCCGAAGAGUUUCUCGCCUUGCAGCAAGGCGACAAAAGUGUUAUGGAAUACGUGGCAAGGUUUAAUCAUCUUUCUCAAUAUGCCACGGAUCAUGUGAACACUGACAGAAAGAGGAAAGCCUGUUUCAUGCGUGGUCUAAAUACUAAACUUCAGACCAUGAUGACCACAUGCCAAAAUGUUACUUUCUAUGAGGCGGUAAAUAUUGCGAUCGCCUCAGAGGAAAAGAAUAGGAAACAUAAGGAAGCCAAGAAGAAGGCUGCUUCCUCUUCUUUCUCUGGUCGCGGUCAAAAGCGCCAGAGGGUCAUUUAUCAUCCACAAGGCCACGGACGUUUCCAAACGCCGAUACCUUAUCGUGGUCCUUUCUCCCCUCCACAGUACAGACCUGGGCAGCAGGUAUAUUCCCGACCUACUGCCAUCGCUUUUGCACCACGCCAGCCGAACGCCCCGGGUGUUCGCCCUACUGCUCCGCCCAGCCACAAUUACCCUUGCUUCAAUUGUGGUAAACCUGGGCAUUUCUCUAAAGAGUGCCCUUUUCCUCGUCAAACCAACCCUACCUUUCCCAGGCCACCUAUGGGCCAACCCCAGCCGAGUCAGUUCAGGACUGGGGCUCAAAAAGGGCAACAGGUACAGAAAGGUAGACCGGUAAAGAAGACAGGGCAAGUCUUCCAUACUGAAGUGGAGACGAUUCCAGAGGGUGAACCAGUGAUGAUGGGUACGUUUCCUGUUGCGAAGCAUCCUGCUUUAAUGCUCUUUGAUUCUGGUGCAUCCCAUACAUUUAUCAAUCGCACCUUUGUGUUAAAGCAUGGCAUACCCAUUGGGGAAACACAAGAUCAUUUUUAUAUACAGUCGCCAGGAGGACGGCUGAUGUCUAAAGAAAUGGUUCACCAAGUACCCAUCGAAUUUGGUGGGCACAAUUUUCCUACUAACAUGAUUGUUCUUAAGGACCAAGAAAUUGAUGUUAUCUUAGGCAUGAACUGGAUGGCGCAACGAGGGGUUGUGCUAGACACUUUGCACCGAACCAUUAAAAUCCCAUUGCCCAAUGAGAGUUCUUACUUGCUAAUCCAACUAGUUACUCCCAAACGGACAAUUGGGCAAGUUCAUGCCGCUAAUGUGUCUGAAGUUAAAGAUAUCCCGGUAGUUCGAGAUUUCCCGGAUGUAUUUCCUGAAGACUUACCAGGUCUGCCUCCGGACCGGGAUGUACAAUUCAGUAUAGAAUUGAAACCAGGGACGGCCCCAAUAUCUCGAAGGGCCUACAGAAUGGCACCAAAAGAGCUGGCCGAAUUAAAAACCCAAUUACAAGAGUUGUUGCAGAAGGGUUUUAUUCAGCCCAGUUCUUCUCCAUGGGGUUGCCCAGCCUUGUUCGUGAAAAAGAAAGAUCACACGUUAAGGCUGUGUGUCGAUUAUCGUCCCCUAAAUGAGGUGACGAUUAAGAACAAGUACCCAUUGCCCCGCAUUGACUUACUGUUUGAUCAGUUAGCUGGGGCCAAAGUGUUCUCAAAAAUUGAUUUGAGAUCAGGGUACCAUCAAAUUAAAAUUAGGCCGGAAGAUGUGCCCAAAACUGCUUUCACAACCCGUUACGGGUUGUAUGAAUACUUGGUAAUGUCUUUUGGGUUGACUAACGCACCGGCCCAUUUUAUGUACUUGAUGAACUCUGUCUUCAUGCCAGAACUAGACAAAUUUGUGGUCGUCUUUAUCGAUGACAUCUUGAUUUACUCCAAAACUAAGAAGGAACAUGCUGAACACUUGAGAAUCGUGCUGACCCGUCUCAGGGAGCACCAGCUAUAUGCCAAGUUCAGCAAAUGUGAGUUCUGGCUGGACAAGGUUCAUUUCCUGGGUCAUGUAUUAUCAGCGGAAGGAGUCGCUGUAGACCCAGGCAAGGUAGAAGAUGUGUUGAAGUGGAAACCCCCGACUACGGUACAUGAGGUCCGUAGUUUUCUGGGCAUGGCGGGAUAUUACCGUCGUUUUAUCCCAGACUUUUCCAGAGUCGCCAAACCAAUCACAACCUUGCUCAAAAGUCAAACAAAAUUUGUUUGGUCACCCCAAUGUGAGCAAGCUUUUCAGACUCUGAAAAGGUUGUUGACAACUGCACCUGUCUUAGCCCAGCCAGAUAUUGAAAAACCCUUUGAUGUAUAUUGUGACGCAUCAGGAAUCGGGUUAGGCUGUGUGCUGAUGCAGGAGGGUCGCGUAAUUGCAUAUGCUUCCAGGCAACUCAAACCUCAUGAAGAGAAUUACCCGACCCAUGAUCUCGAACUAGCCGCCGUGGUACAUGCAUUAAAAAUCUGGCGUCAUUAUUUGUUGGGAAACACAUGUCAUCUAUAUACCGAUCACAAAAGCUUGAAGUAUAUCUUUACUCAAGCUGAGCUUAAUAUGCGCCAGCGAAGGUGGCUAGAACUAAUUAAAGAUUACGACCUUGAGGUGCAUUAUCACCCUGGCAAGGCAAAUGUAGUAGCGGAUGCCCUCAGUCGUAAGGCUCACUGUAAUUGCUUAACAGUGAAGCCUAGGGAUAUAACUUUGUGCCAAGAGCUAGAGAACUUGGGAAUAGAAAUGAUUUCCCAAGGAAGCCUUUUCAAUUUAAGGAUUGAUUUCAAUCUCGAGGCUCAAAUCAUAAAGGCACAAAAAGAAAACAAAGGCAUGAGACAUCUUAAAGAGAAGAUUUCUAAUAGAGCACUCACAGACUUUAAGGUGGAUGAGGCGGGAGUAAUCUGGUUCAAGAACCGGUUAGUGGUUCCAAAGGUACCUGAGCUACGUCAGCAAAUCCUAGAUGAAGCUCAUACCACGAGGUAUUCUAUUCAUCCGGGAAGCAAUAAGAUGUAUCAGGACCUGAAGCAAAGAUUUUGGUGGACAAAAAUGAAGAUAGAAAUAGCUCGCUAUGUGGCCCAAUGUGACACCUGUCGAAAGGUCAAAGCCAUUCAUCUCAAAUCCGCUGGGGAGUUGCAACCUUUGCCUAUCCCCGCAUGGAAAUGGGAUGACAUAAGUAUGGAUUUCAUAGUAGGAUUGCCCAAAACGGCCAAGGGCUUUGAUUCCAUUUGGGUCAUAGUAGAUCGUCUCACCAAAACAGCACAUUUUCUGCCAGUAAAGCUAUUGUAUCCUACCUCCACCUAUGCUAAGAUUUAUUUCGACCGUAUCCUAAGUCUGCAUGGAGUGCCAAAGACAAUAGUGUCAGAUAGAGGCACACAAUUUGUCUCCCAAUUCUGGAAAUGUUUACAUGAGUCCUUGGGCACUAAGCUUUUAUACAGCACAGCCUACCACCCUCAAACUGGUGGGCAAACGGAAAGGGUAAAUCAAACCCUAGAAGAUCUAUUAAGAUCUUGUGCCCUGAAUUUUCCAGAUAAGUGGGAUGACUGCUUGCCUCUAGCAGAAUUUUCCUACAAUAAUAGCUAUCAAGAGAGUAUCAAAAUGGCUCCCUUUGAGGCACUGUAUGGUCGCCGAUGUCGAACUCCGUUACACUGGUCAGAACCUGGAGAAAGAUGGUUCUUCGGAGUUGACUUAGUAAAAGAGACUGAGAAUAAAGUGAAACAAAUCCAAAAUAAUUUGAAAGUUGCUCAGUCCCGACAGAAAAGUUACGCUGAUAAAAGACGUCGACCAUUAAAGUUCGCCAAAGGUGAUCAUGUGUAUUUGAAAGUAUCCCCAAUGAAAGGAGUAAAUCGUUUUGGUGUUAAAGGCAAGUUAGCGCCUCGUUACAUUGGUCCAUUUCCAAUUAUUGACCGAUGUGGGCAAGUCGCUUACCGCCUUAAACUGCCCGAACGAUUAUCCGGGGUACAUAAUGUGUUCCAUGUGUCUCAACUGAAAAAGUGUCUUCGGGUACCAGAUCGGGUUCAAGAUAUUGAAGAUGUAACGCUUGAACCAGAUCUGACCUAUUCGGAAUAUCCUAUCCGAGUACUGGAUCAAAAAGCUAGAGUUACUCGAAGGACAACCACCAAGUGGUAUAAAGUACAAUGGAGCCAGCACUCUGAAGAAGAAGCCACAUGGGAAUCUGAAGAUUACUUGUUAGAAAAUUUUCCUGAAUUCUAUGCUUCUCUUCAAGACAAUGUAUGAUAACCAGAGAAUAUACUCCAGUGAAGAAACAGAGUCGCCAAAGCCAUGUACUUAAUGUACAUAUAUGCAUAUAGUGAAGUAUUUUUUUCCCCAAUUCCUUGCCUUAUGGAAAAAUUGAAGAUGAAAGAGUUUUGACAAAUUUCCUUUUCCAUUACUUACCCUAAGGUUUUAAAUCUCGGGGACGAGAUUUCUUUAAGGGGGAAGGGCUGUAACAUCCCUGAUGUUACGGUUACUAAAAACGGAUCAUGUCAUCAUAAGCAUGGUAAAGCAUAAAUGUUAAAGCACAUUAGUAUGCAUCAACUUAAAAAUAAGUUUACUUUGAUUACUUGAGCUUAGGGAAGUAGAGUGUGUUUUUGUGGUGUGUUGUUGCUUGUGUGGUUGCUAAAACCCUAGGGUGGAAGUUUUCCGAAGAGCUAAGGGGGGGGAAAACCCUGAUUUUUGAACCCUAGAACUGCCCCCUUUUGUGCAAUUCAAAAACUAAGCAAAAUUUGAGGUUGAGUUCAAAAGCAAAGUUGUAGAUCCUGGAAAGAUGUACAACUUUGGUGUUUUGAGUUUUUGAAGUUUCAAUACAAAAUUCAAAGUAAUUUUGAAAAUACAGAUUUCCAGAAAGUGUCCCCUUUUCCAACUUAAACCCCCAAUUCAAAAUCCAUUUGGAAUUUUGAAAAGUGGUCAACAUGAAAGUUGUAGAGCACAAAAAGUUGAGCAACUUUCAUGUUGGGAGUUUUUCAAGUUGUUAUACAAAAUCAAAAGUAAUUUUGGAAAUUCUGUUUUGCCCCAAUUCAAAAAUUUGGAAUUUCUUUGAUUUGAGUUUGAUUUUCAAACUGUUUGGCCAAAUUCACCCUGUUACACUCAAAAUCAGCUCUGGUCACCAAAACAUGUUUUGUAGCUUAUAAAAUUUGGCACAAUUUUUGUUUUGGUGGAAUUUGGAGUUUAGUUCAAAUUUUGGCUGAUUUUCGCAAGGGGACAAAAGAGAGGAGAUAAGGGGGAGCUACAGUGAUCGGCAGGGGGGGGUGUUCUGCCGCCGGGGCAGAGCCGCCUCCGCGCGCGCCGCCACGCAGCUGGCCACGCAGCUGCCUGCUGCCGUGCUUCGCGUGGACGUCCUCAUCCGCAAACCGCCGUUCGUUGUGGGGAUAAAGCCCCGAGUGGCCAGAGUCCCCUCUUCCUUUUCUUGAACCCCGACGCCGACGAGCUCCCUGCGCCCCUCCAAUUCGCCUUACUCGCUGCCGUUUCAAGCCACCUGAGCACCCCAGCAGCUCCGCCGUGAGCCCAGCCACCAAUUGCGCCCCCAAGCGCAAGCACUAACCCACCAGAGCCCUUUCCCGAGCUGUUUCUCCCCCAACUCCGGCCGAGCACCACCGCAAGAGCGUCACCGUGGCCGGCUUCACCCUGCGCCUCCCCGCUGCUGUUUCUUGCUUCGUUGAAGUCGCGGUGAGCUACGGAUGCUCUUGCGCUGCUCAAUUAGCGUUUUACUCCGGUGUAGUGAUCGGUGUUCAUCUAACCGAGGCGGCCGUCCGCCGCGUCCGUGGCCGGGGUAGCUAGAGUAGGAGAGAGCAGGGGUAAAGGAGCUCUACGGGUGCGCAAGGGUCGGGAGAAGCUAACGCACCUCACCGCGAGUGCCGGGGUCUCACCGGUGUUGCGGUGAAGUUCGCCGGAGCGGUGGCGCGGGGUUGAAGGCGAAGCUGACGGGCGGGACCCGCCCGUCAGUCGCUGCGGGUGGAGAGGGGGCAGCGCGCGCCGUCCGCGCGGGAGCGCCCCUGGGCCGAUUUGGCCGUAUCCAAGCGGGCCGUCUGCGCGGCGCGUGAGCGGGCCGAGCGCGCGUGGGCUGGCCUGCGGGCUAAGUUCCAGGCCGCCCGCCUCAGGGAAAAACCUUUCUCUUUUUCCUUUUAUACAAAUUUUGCUGAAUGUUUGAAUUUGUGUAAUAAUUCGUGUGCUAAUCCAAAAAUCGUGGAAAUUUUUGUGUAGGCUCUCUGAAGUAAGUAGAACCCAAGAAAAAUAUUAAGUUCUGUUUUCUGGUAGUUUACAUGUCUGUAAAAAUUUGCCCUUUUAAUUAGCAAAUAAAACUUGUAUGAAUUCUAAUAAUUUAAUUGUAUGUCCAAAAAUCACCAAAAAUUGUGGGGAGCCUCUGAAUAUUAUUCCCUGGCUCCACCUAAAAUUUGGUGGCAUUUGGAUAAGGUUUGGUUAAAAUGUUAAUAAACCCUUAUUUAGUAUUUAAUUAAUCAUUCUAAAAUAAGUAAAUAGUGAUUAACUAAAUCUUCAUAAUUAGGGUUGAGUGAUUUUGGAUUAUGUGAUGACCUGAGGUCAUUAACCCUAAUGACCUUUGACAUGUAAAUAUUGUUUAGCCUUAAUGCUUAAUUAUUGUCAUUAGUAAUUAAUUAAGAAUUAAUUAAGGUAAAUAGGUUUAAUAAUUACCUAAUGUAAGAUAAUUAUGAAUUAAAUAAAGUCUUAGUUUACAGAUGCAACCUCUUGGGUAAAAAUAUUAAGUUAUUAAGCAACUUUAUUUGGUGAUAAUUCUAUACUGCAUUAAAAAGGCAAAUUGUACUUAAUUCGGUCCAUCUUGCAUAAUUGCCAUACGCAUAUCAUAAGCAUUCAUCAUUUUGCGUAUAGUGCACGUGACCGAAGGAGCGCCCGUUGAACCGAACCCCGAGGUCGGUGCUCCGUUCGAGGAAGUAGGAUCCGAGACUUGGGAAGUCUCCGAGGGUCCCUCUCUGCCCUGCAACCAAGGCAAGCCCCGGAUGCAUUAACCCCUCCUUGGUGUUUUAAAUCUUUUAUCACUUAUGAAUUGAAAAUGCUGCAUUAAGUAGUUGAGAAUUGGGUUAACCUACUUGCUGCAUUUACUACCUUGAUAUCUAUAUCCUGUCCUUGACACAUGUUUUAUUUUAAAACUGCGUAGCAAUGCUUAGCCCUGCUACUAGAUAAGUUUUCAAACAAGAAAGUUUGAAGGGUUGUUGUGGGAUACACUUAUGGACAAUGAUAUUUCAACUUGAGACCGGUCGGUGGACUUGCUUUAAGAAUGGAGUCUUAAAGUAGUGUCUCCAACUGUGUCGGUUAAGGACCGGUCCGUUGAUGGCCUGCUGGGUUGAGAAUUUAUAGUACUAGCCACUUGCCUACGGUAAGCCCAGUCUUGUGAUCCCUCGACGCGAACAGCUACUCGCGCACUGGGAGUGGAAAGAUGGCGAGAGUAGUGUGUACCCACCUUACGGAUCUGAGAUGACCGGAAAACAUCUAGAUCGGCUGUAGGAUGGUGGAGUACUGUGCUCUCGGGUGCCGCGAACCUGGUCAAAUUUGGGAAGAGCUUGUUUUGGGUUGAUAUAUGCAAGAUUUGGUUCUACAUAUGUCGGGUGGUUAGGAACUCCAGCUGGAUUGCUAAGCGAUUCGAAUCGUCGUUGCUCCCCGAUUGGGAGACUCAAUUCCUUCGACCCUCAUCGUAGUUAAAUAUGCAACUAAGUGAUAUAAUGAGAAAGGGGAAAAUGUCUCAUGAGGUUCGGAUCCCAAUUCCCGGACUCAUAGCGACAUGAAGCUAUGACCAUCGAUAAAUAAUACUUAAUGAUAGGGUUAGGAACUCACGGAUUCGUCUGUGGGGAACAACUAGUUAGACUAUCCUCGAAUUCUUCUGCCUCUGCGAGGGAGGAAUUCAGGGUAAAACUUGAAAAUAAGGAUGCACUACUAGUAAGCUUUUCCGCAAAACACUUUGGCUCCUUGCUCAGCCACCCCUUGUCUACCCUAAGCCUGCAUCCCUAAAUUCUCCUCUUUUCCCGUCGGAUAAGUCUUGUUGAGUACUCCCGUACUCAGGGUUUCAAUACCCCUGUUGCAGGUGAAGCUCAGGAGCCGGCUUGUUUCGGACCCUGUUGUGUGACCGUCGUCGAGGUUGACGACGAAGAAGAGUGAGCGUGACCCAUGGGCAGGGUCUGUAAAUUUGUUGUGUCUCUACUAAAGUUUAAGUUGCUCCGCUGGACCAGGCUUGUAAUAACACUCUACUAUUUGGAAGAACUCCUUUUGUAAAUUAAGUUAUGUAAUACUUCCGCUGUUUCACUCCGAAAUGCUAUUUUGGUCUUGUGUCGUUGAGUUACUGCUUUAUCUUCGCAACGAAUGAUCCUGGUGUUAAGGUGGCCACUUGCUACCCUGUAAGGGCGAGAAGAAACAGUUCUCGUUGUUUGACCAUUAUCAGUGGUCAGGACGAGCCAGCUUGGUACGCCACAGGUAGCAGUGGUAUGAGCGCCCAGCAAUGCUCAUCGGACUUCUAAAGUGGGAGGACUCCCGACAUCGCCGUCAGAGGUCCUUAGGACAAUGGCAGGUGUCGGUGGGCCCAAACACUUAGGAGGUUCUGCCACAGUCCGUCACAUAUCUCUUCUGACACACGGACCCCGUGUGCUAGGGCUUAUUGCGGUCAACCAUGGACCGUGCUGCCAUGGUGGUGGUUCAAGCUCCGGCUCACAUAUCGUGUGGCAUGACCGACUCUGCAUGUAAAAGUUUCAAGAUUGUCCAACCCAUUCCAUAAGGUUGUUGUAGCGCCGGAUCUGCACACAUGAAGUUGUGAAGAUACUGUCAUGCCUGGAUCACACCAUAGUAUGGAAAGAUAAAAACGCCGCACUCUGCAUGCAGUGAGCCUUAGGUUUCUGAUGAUCGGGUAAAGGACAUAGGUAUAAACGACGGGAUGAGAACUGUCGAAAGGUAGAUAGUGGAAUGAGAUGCCACAUGAAUUCAGGCCAUCUUUAUUCCCAUGCGUGGCGCUGGAGCAACUCUUUUUGGCAUGCAUUCCACCGAUUGAUCCAGAACCAAUAACAUUUUCUUUUUGUUCCUUUACUGACCAAGGGCCAUUAAUUCGUUUGUGGAUAAAGAAAGCGAAAAAUUCUUCUUCACCUCUAGCGUAUGAAUAACAGAUUUCUGUACAAAAUAUCCAAAAUUAAUCACUGCAGGCGCAGCAUCUUCGUUGUGACAUGAUGGCAUGAUUUGGGGCACGAUUAGGCAGCCAUUGACCACCAGAACUGUUAGGUAUAAGCAAUAAUAAGCAUCAUAUUCCAGUGUGGCAAGCUCGCUUUAUUCCAUUUGAGGCCCACAAUGACAAGGCAUGGUUCAGCGAUGGCCGGCCCCCAUCACAGCUUUCUUGGGCCCCUUGCACAGCCGUUCGUCUUGACAAGGCAAGCCAUGCCAUUUUCUUCUACAGGACGAGCUGGGAUGUGCCUAGCUGCAAGGGAUAAGCAUUGGGCGCAUUAUUCUGCCUCCCACUAGUGGCCCCAAAUCUAAGCCACUUUAGAUAACCACACCAAAAUGUGUCGUUGUCACCCUGGUCCUCAUCCUUGCCGUUGUGCGUGUCUCAUCACAAUCUCAUCAGUCCCUCUCCAUGCAAUGCAAUUCCAGCAGCGAAAAGCACCACCCGCUCCUUUUCGUAUCUACUGUCUCCUUGUGUUGACAUGGGCUGUGGUAACAGCCGUUCCUGGUGCUGGUGUGAUAUGUUGGGGGCUUAGAGAAAAGUGUUGCAGACUUGCUGAAGCACUGGUGCUUUCGACAGGAAACAUUCCUUGAGACGAGCAGCAGCAGCAGCUUGACUAGUUGCAGUGACUGGGCUGCCAUUAGCUUGUUGCAUUACUGCUACUGAACACUUCAAUUGCUCUUGAUCUGGAAGAACCAAGAUACAGCUGCUGCUGCUGCUGCUGCUGCUGGUGGUCAGCAUGACAAUUGUGUGGCCUUCCCCUGCUCUGAUCGCGGAUGCUGUGUGUGUGUAUGGCUUGCUUGGGACUGGGCGACUUGCAUUGGGAGGCAGACACCCAGGAGGCCAGGAGCAACACCAACACGUGAAGUGGCUAGGCUCCCCAGGCCAGGCGCAAUGCCACCCACCUCGGUCGGUGUCGUCUCCCGGGGAGAAAACGCCGCGGUCCCCGUGACCGCACCAGACGCCCCUCGAUUUUUUGAAUGCGUUGGUUGCUGCACCUGGGUUGGGAGUUGGGACGUUUGAUGAAUAGUAUACAUUGGUCCACGUCCACCUCCCGCGAUCGGCACCUGGGCAGCUGGGCCUGGGCUGGACGGUGUUUGUCACAGCUUCUUUCAAUUAUUACUACUACGACUACCAGGAAGAUGUCGCCACCCACUGCUGGGUUGAGAGAUACUCCCUCCGUCGAAACAAAUGAAAUUCUAAGGGCUUUAGAUCAAAAAGUUUUUUUAUUUUGAUAUUGUAGCAUUUUCAUUUUUACUAGUAUAAUGCCCGUGCUAACACCACGGUUUUUUCUAGAGAAUGCUAUAGUAAUUUUUUUAGAGUUUUAAUUUUAGGUAAUUGUUUUUAAGUCUAUAUACAUUUUAUGAAUCAUCAGUACAUAAAGACAUCUUUACAUUUUCUCUAACUUUUUAAUCAAAUAUUGGAUAUCUUCAGGGAUGUUGUCGUAGCACUCGUUUGCACGACUCGCCAAAAUUUCAGCCAAAAACUCCGUCCUUAGUGAUAUAUAUAGAUGGGAAGUAAUUACGAAUCCUUUUGCAUUCUUCUCGGGCAAUCAUAUGGUUAGUUUCCCAGGACGACAUUUCAAUACCAUGCUCCCAUUUGCUUGUGUCGAGUUUUUUGUUCUCUACUACAUGUUUAAUUAUUCUUUCCAUUCCUAUUAACUGUUAAAACCGAGAUACCAGGUUAAUUUUGAAUUGUUUAGUUCAAUAAGUUAAAAAAGUAUGUGUACAUCAUAUAGAUAUUAUGUUGUACCGUGUUUCGAAGAUCUACACAUUCUAUCAUUUGCAUUCCAAUAGAGUCCAUCAUCUGCAUUCCAAAAGAGUCCAAUACUUGUAUCUCUCGCUUUAAAGCAUUCACGACUGCGAGGUACCAGUGACAGAGUGGAAUAUUGAUCGGUAGAAACACUUGCAGACAUAGAAAUUUAUGCUCAUUAUAUACUCUUAUUUGGACGGUAUAAAAUUUAUCAUAUGGCAAAUGUUAUGUUUAAGCUUACCAUAUCAGCUUUUAAAUAAUCCUUUACCCUUGAUUCAGCCGCGCCUUGUCUUUGAAUCCCUAAAUCUUUAGGAUCUUGCUCUACAUGAGUUUUUAGGAUCUUGCGCCGGCGUCACAGGCAAAUUUUUUUCGCGCUUGAGGAAGGGAUAUGUAGAUCAACUGGAAUUCGCUGAUCACCGUCUCCCUGCUGUCGAGGCAAAAAAAUUUCGCGCUUAAGGGAUACGUAGAUCGACUGGAAUUCGCUCAUCACCGUCUCCCUGGUGUCCGCUGAUCAGACCGUCCGUCCGUCGACGGCACCGGCGUCACAGGCAAAAAAAAAUUUCGCGCUUGAAGAACACGCACCUGAGGGCGCUCCCCAAUGCGGCGGAGAGGCUGGCGCUGUGCAACGCCGACCUGCUCGACUACGACGUUCUGCGGGCCGGCUGCCACGGCGUCUUCCACACCGCGUCGUCCGUCACCGACGAUCCGGUACAUAUACGUGUAACCUAUAAUACUUAAAUACGGAUAUACUAAGAUCGAUCUAUGAUCACGGUACAUGUCACGUACCGUAACCAGGCUAGCCUUUGGAGGAAAAACGUUUUCUCAUGUAUGUACUCCAGUAGGGACCAUAUACAGCACCUACUGGCUACUGCAGAUAUUUAUUAUUUAUUAUUAAAAAAAGAUCAACUAAAAUCACAACAAAAAGAUUUAUUACUCCAGUAGUAGAAUAUUUUUACGACAGAAACUGUGUCUUGCAUGCAUGCAUGCAUGCGUGCAAAAUUCACUUCCUGGAGCCAGAUGCGUGUUUUGACCUGGUUAUGGUGGAGAUUAGUGGGCCGAAUUAGUGGGCUGCGGUGGAGAUGAGUUUGUUGGGGCGUGAGUUUGUCUGGUCUAACGGCCCAAGAAGUUUCCAAUUAUAGAGGAGAUUAUUUGGCAAACAUUGUCUAAUUAUGGAGUAAUUAGGCUAAUCUCAAUGAAAGGUUUCAUUUCACUGUUUCUAAGACAUGAAAUUAUAGGUAUCUGUGAAUUAAAUAGACUCUCUCAAUGCACAUUUUCAUUUUAUUGUUUCAUAGACUAUUUGUAACAUUUAAUUCUUCUAAAGUGUUGUGAUCGUUUGUGUCAUAUGAACUGUGUAGCCAUUUUAUAUUUUUCUAAGAAUUAGCACGUUAGAAUAUCACAGUAUGUAAAGAACGAUUAUUUUUCUUCAAAAGAAUAUUAGUAUUUUUCUCUUUUUAAAAUAGUAUAUAUGUUGGCUUCCGUCCAUAUCCAUGGAUCUGCUCCCCUGCUAAUCCAUCCAUUCAAAGCUUGAAGGGCGGCCAGGUCGAACGACCUUGGUGUGGCCUAGCGUGGAGCAAAGCCCAGAAGGACGCCCGGAAGCUCCCUGCAGGAUGCGCCGCUGAUGUAGGAGGGGGUGCAGGGAGGAAGCGGAGGUGUGCGUCUCAAGCAGGGGAUCGAUGCAGAUGAAACUUUUUCCCUCAACGCAAGUGUCGUACGGUUUCCAAACGGCGCCCAAACGUUUCAUGCCCAUAAAACCUAUCCCUUCUCUCUCCUUCUCAAAUCAUGCAAAGAUUCCAUUUUUGCUGAUGUGUCACUGUAUUUAAUGUGCAUGAAACACCCAUGAAAUGCCCAUUGAGACUGGCCUUAGGGUUAAAAGAUUCGUCUCGUGAUUUACAGGUAAACUGUGCAAUUAAUUAUCUUUUUUAUCUAUAUUUAAUGCUCCAUGCAUGUGACACAAGAUUCGAUGUGAUGGAGAAUCUUAUAAAGUUUUGGAUUUUUUGGUGCAUCUAAACAAGGCCUAAGUUUGUUUGUUUGUUUGUUUAUAAGCCAAAACAAUCUUAAGUUUAGUUAACAUUAUCAAAAAUCUAUUAAUAUUUAUAACUCAAGAAUUUAUUUAUAUAUCAUUUUCUAAGAGAUUGGGCAAUCCACCAACUCAUUUAUUUUUUGUUAAAGUAAGGAGCAUGUUCGCUUGAACGUAUGUGUCGAAUCUGUUAGCCAUUUAAUAGUGUUGACCUUGUGUAUUUGGAUGUGUGUAGGAGCAACUCUAACAAUUUAGCAAAUGACUUCUUAUGCAUAAUUUUUUAGGAAAAAAAACCUCUCCAACAGUUUGAUAUCCCAAGUCUAUAUUUUUUUCAACUUAACAUAUCUUCCUGUUUAGCGUACAAAUAUACGCGCGGGUUUUGUGCUUGGUCUCAGUCUUUCUCCUCAUGUUUAGCUGAGCUCUUUGUUUUGUUAGCGGUUUUUUAGUUUUUUGAAAUAAAAUUUGCCAAAUUAUUAGAGCUGAGAUCUUUUUUUUUCUUCCUCCUAUUAUUUUAAGACUUAACAAACAACAAGAUUUGAAAAAAUGAAUUUUUACCGUUGGACAAGCUCCAAAUAUUCAUUUAGGGCUUGUUUACUUCCCAGAAAAUUUUGCAAAAUUUUUCACAUUCACCGUCACAUCGAAUCUUUAGACGCAUGCAUGGAGUAUUAAAUAUAGACGAAAAUAAAAACUAAUUGCACAGUUUGGUCGAAAUUGACGAGACGAAUCUUUUGAGUCUAGUUAGUCCAUGAUUGGACAAUAUUUAUCAAAUACAAACGAAAGUGCUACAGUGUCCAUUUCCCAAAAUUUUUCGCAACUAAACAAGGCCUUACACGGAACCCAAAUAACAACGCCAGCCGUACAACUCGGAAGAACAAAUUAGCCCUGCCCAUUGUAGCUUUUACUGUACCGUUUUACGGUGGUGGAUUAGGCAGUGGGCACCCACCGCACCAAAUGCAAGACGCCGUGGGAACGAACAUGGUGGGUAACACUGCCUAGCUGGCUGCUGUACUCCGCCUGCUCUCCACUCGUUUUGUGUACGACUGAAACGGAAACAGCGAAGCACACGGUUGUCACUCGUCCGUACCCAGCUGCCACACACAACUCACGACAAAUUAUUACUGCUCCUGACUUGCAUCAUUAACACGCACCAUUCCCACCAAAGGAAUCCAACGAAACCGCGUAUCCAGGCAAAACAAACAAUGAACGAAGCCAUUCAAAUCGGGGUCAAUCGACGGGGUACUAAUACUUGUUUACUGUAUGAUUCGUUUCUAGUACGUGGUCGAGACUGACGACACCAUGUGCAGGUGCCGGAGCCGUAAAUUCACAACCUUUCCUUUUUAUAACGGCUACAAGGUUUGCCUUCACUUUUAUUUUCAUCACUGUCUUUGUUAACUCCCUUUCAGUAACAAUCACUGACUGUCAAGAAAAAAAAAAGAAAACCAGAGAAAGAACGAAAGAUUCAAGAACACUAGUAGUAUGGGGUGCCAAAAUGUACAUGGGAAGGCAACAUGUGAGCUAUCCUGUUCAUCAAUCAAGAACAGAGGUGACCAAGAACAAACACGAAUCAAGGAGGAGAACAGGAAGCAAGAACAAUAAUAGCAGCAGAUCAGUUUCGGGAGCACUCGGCGGGGAAUCCCUGCGGGAACCUCCACCCAUCGUCGCAGUAGUUGUAGUGCAUGUAGUUCUUCUUUGCCCACGCGACGGUGCCCCACUCGGCGGCGUCGAGCUGGCGGUUCAUCCACCGGUCCGUCCCGGCGGGGCACGACAGCGGCGCGCCGACGUCGCCGCCGCCGGUGGGGACACAGGCGUCGGCGGUGUAGCCUCGGUACGAGACGACGAACGGCGAAUUGGACCAGUCCACCUUCACCUUCCCCUGCUGCG